rnacentral:lncRNA from 1 species
ACCACAAAUGCCUCGCAACUCGAGUUAAUACCUAGAUAGUAGCUUUUGAAUAUAUAUUAAUUUUUCCUUUUUUGUUUUAUGGGCUCUUUAAACAUUGUAUUAAAUAUAUGAAAUUAAAUUUUAAUUUUAAAUAUAGAUAAUGAUUAAAUAUUAGAUCUGUGUGUAAAACAUAUUAUAUACUGCAGAUGCAUGUAAUAAAUCAUAUUUAUCAUAUCAUACUUAAUUUUGAGAAUUUGAUUAUCAAAAUUCAGUGCAGUGCGCGAGCUAGGCGUCACAAAUACUGAUACGGAAUACGAUACACGACACCAUUCAGACACCAUGACUCAGCAACUUUAAAAAAAUUAGAGCACAAAUACGGUAUAGACACCCAGCAAUAAAAUAUAAUAUCAUUAAUAUAAUAAUAAUAUAAUUUUAUUAUAUAAAAAAUAUUAAUUUUGAUAAAAUAUUAUUAUAUUUUUCAUACGAAUGACGGUUGGUAAAAUAUUAAUUGAUAGUUCAUGUAUUUUACGAAUAUUUUUUUUACUAUAUAUAUGUAAUUUAUUUAUAUUGUCAAAACACUUAUAUGCAUUUAUAAAAAAAACUAAAAUAUUUAUCAUCUUACAUUAUAUAUAUAUAUAUAUAUAUAUAUAUAUAUAACAAUAAAAAUAAAAAUAAAAAUAUGUAUAUAUAUUUUUUAGUUGUAUGCAGUAUGAAUCAGCAUUAAAUGUUCGGGCAAAGAGUGUCCACAUCAGACACGUGUUCAAUAUGGACGCGUGAGUAUCCGACAUAAAUACGCGAGGCUUAUUGAAGUGUACGUGAUACAUAGUGCACGAGGUAUACGUAUCAGACAUUCAUAAAUAAAUUUUUUCCUACUUAUUUGUUUUUAGUUUCAAUUGUGAAAAAUUUAAGGUGGUAUCCUCUAAUGAUUUUUUUGUCUGUACUAUGAAAAAUAGAACUAUUUGAUAAGAUUGAAUAGUAUUACUAGGAAAGUAUUAUAUUGAAAAAUUCUCAACAAUUUGUUUAAAUAAAUAUAAAAGAAUCAACUAACUUUUUUAUUGUAGACUCAAAAAAUUAUAUUUUCUCUUCCAACAAUGAUCAAUGAUCAAGAAGAUGAGUUUUCUUCACCUUGGAACAUUCUAACUAAAGCUGCUUUUGCUCGGCAGCAAGCCAGAUGGGGAUGUCAAGAUGGGAUUCGGGUUUUCAAAGAUUUGAAUUCGAAUUUAAACCCAACUAUCAAAUCUUAAAACAGAAUACGAACUCAAAUUCGAUAGAUUUUUAAAAUUCAUAUCCAAAUUUGAACUCGACUAAGAAUCCAAAAUAAUUAUUUUUAUUUACUAUAAUUCAAAAUAUAUUAUAUUAAAUCUAAAUUUAAAAAUACAAAUUUAAAUAAAAUUAAAUAAAUAUAUAUUAUAUAAUAUAAAAUUAAUUUUGAUUCGGAUCGGUUUGGGUCCCUAAACUUUGCAUAUUUUUCAUUUUAGUCCGUAAAAAAAAAUUUAAGUUUUAAAUUUAAAUUCGAGAAAUUAGAAUUUUGAAUUUGAACUUAAAACUGAAUUUAAAUUUUGAAUUGAAAUUCAAAUUUUAAAUUUAAAUUUUUAAUUGAAUCUAAAUUUUGAAUUCAAACUUAAAAUUUUGAUUUUAAUAUUUCAAUUUAUAUUUAAGAUGAAAGUUUUGAAAUUUAAAAUUUAAAUUUAAAAUAUGAAUUUAAAUUUAAAAUCAUAUUCAAAAUUUUGAUUUUAAAUUUUAAAUUUGAAUUUAAGAUUUGAUUUCAAUUCUAAAUUUGAAUUUAAACUUCGAAGUCAAAUUCACAUUUUGAAUUUGAAAUUUCAAAUUGAAGUUUGAAAUUAAAUUAGAAUUUAGAAUUCCAAAUGUGAAUUUGAAUUAAAAUUUAAAAUUUAAAAUUAAAUACAAAAUCGGAAUUUGAAUUUCAAUUUAAAUUUGAAUUCAAAAUCAAAAAUUUAAAUUUAAAUUUUAAAUUUUAAAUUAUAAUUUUUUUUGAAUUUAUAAAUUUAAUGGAUUAAUUAUACCAUUAGUUCUCAACCUUUGCAUUAUUUUUCAAUUUGGUCCCCAACCUUUUUUUUUUUUGCAAUUCGCUGACAUAGCGCCACCGUGGCACUGACAUGGCGCCUUCGCGGCGCUGACGUGGAGCUGACGUGGCAUUUUAUGUCAAUUUUAACAACUAUCUAACAGUUGGGACUUAAUUAAAAUGAAAUUAAAAAAUUAGGGACUUGAUUGCAAAAAGAAAAAAGAUUAGGAAUAAAUUGGAAAAUAAUGUAAAGGUUAGGGAUCAUUGGUGUAAUUAACCCUAAAGAAUAUAAACACAGUGAAUUUACCAUGUUACCCCUAUGAUUUUGAUCGCCUAUUAUUUUAUAUAUAUAUAUAUUAUAUAUAUAUAUAUAUAUAAAUAUAAUAUUUAAAACACCGCACUGAGAUCCCCUCAGCUAUUGUCUAUUAGCCGCUGUAAAAUAGAUCACUCUAUUUUAUUUUUUAUUCAUAUAUUUAGUUUAUAUUUACAAAUUAAAUAAAAAGAGUUUAUAUUUAGUUUAUUAAAUAAAUAAAUAAACUAAAUAAACCACUCUAUUUAGUAUAUAUUUAAUAACUCAAUCAAUUAUGUUAUUUCUAAUUUUAUUAAUUAAUAUAUUAAUUUUAUUAAAUACUAUAAAUUUGAUGAAAUUUUAAAUUUACGAACCAACACCUCUUAACACAAAAUUAAUAAAUAAUCAAGGCAUAAAGUUUUUUUCAAAAAAAUAAUUUUCACAUUGCCUCUGUAGGUGCGAGAACCCCAUUAACACCCGUUGAUCACAUCCAACAAUUCCGUAUCUAUUUAAAGAGUUCACAAACACCGCCUUCUUUAUCCGGACGACUCCUGGUUCAUUUCUCGAAGGCGCGAUUCUGUUUAAACCCUCUUUCUCUUUCCAAACCCCGCAACCCUCGAGGCCUCGACUCGAGGGGCAUCGCCAUGGAAGAGCCUUAUACUGAAACCCUAGAUAGCGUCUUCACUCGCCUCAACCUCUACUCGAUCGACCUCCUCGAGCUCCUCCGAAACCCUAAGCAGAAGAGCGCCUCCUUCCUCCCCGAGAUGGCCGAUCUCCUCCGUCGCACUCCGCCCGAGGCUCUGCAAUCCUGCUUCGAGUAAGUCCUCUCCUCCACGUCUCUCUCUUUGGAUUUGGAUUGAAGAAUUUGGAGCUGGUUAUUCGUUCUCGAUCGAUCUUUCGGUUUGGUUAAAUUCUAAGAGCGCGUUGUUUUGACUCUGAAUUGAUGAUAUUUGGACUCUGGGAAACGCUCUUUAUCUCUUAGACAUUUGUAUUUGUUUCGUAUCUCGCAGCUAUACUUUGUUUCCGUUGCUUCUGUUGCUCGAUGCUGCAGUGGAAUGCAGGAAGGAGAAGAAGGUCGAUUCUGGGGAGAGUUUGGGUGCUCUUGAGAUCAGCGAUAGAGUUGCAGAGGGCGUCUUGAUGUGCAUCGAGGCACUUUUGAACAAAUGUCAUCUUGGCUCAGUCGAUCAGGUGCUAAUAUUUCUACGAGCUUUAUAAAUGCUUCUCUUUGUUUUCUGGGACAUGUAAGGUUGCUAACUUUUGCAAGUGAUCGGUCGAGUUAUUAGAAGCAUCUCUGUUAUUUCUCGAAAUUGUAGGCUCCUUAGUUUCUGAUUGUUUGGGUAUUAAACUAAGGAAGAUAUGGAAUAAUGUGCAUUUGCUUCUGUGGUGUGAGAAGUUCAAAGUGACAUAGCAUCUAUGAUAAAUGGCAGAAACUGAGACUUAAAGCGUAGCUUGUCUGCUGCCUGGUGCUCCCCGAAAGAGAAAAUGUCUGGCUUAAGUUGGUUCUCAAUAUACAAUUUAUGGGGUAGUGACUUCUACCCCUCGGAUCCAUUGGAGUUACACAAUGUAGGGCUAGUGAAGGUCUGAGCAUUUGAGGAGAUAAUAUGAAGGAAGAGGAGAAGAGCCAUAACAUGCCUAGCUAAUGGAUGGCAACCAAUUAAAGGGAAUACAAUAUGGGGAGACUCUCUCUCUCUUUCUCUCGUUCUCUCUCUCUCUCUCACACACACACACACACACACAAACAAACACGCACACACACGGUUUUGGUGGUUUGGGUUGCGUAAUUCAUGUUUUGACUGGUUCCAAUUGCAGGCCUGCUUUAGAGUACACCACAGUGAUUAUUUACAAUGGAUGCUUACAUAAAUGUAAAAGCAAAAUAAAAAUACAGAGUGUUUACUUUAUAUUCUAGUGGUAUCAUCACUUCCAUUGUGAGUGGUUACUGAAACUUCACUAGGGAUAUGCUAUUUCAGAUGGUUAUGUUGCUGAAAAAACUCCCUUACGGUGCUAUGCUUUCCCCUUUGGAGGCAUCGGAAGAGUUUCGUGGAGGAAUAAUUAGAUGCUUAAGGGCUAUGCUUCUCAGGCUGCAACAAUGUUCCGUUGGGUCAUGCUCGUGCAAGCAAACAAUUCUUUUGCCUACAAUGAUACCGAUAACUAGCUUGGAAGUUGAUUACAAAACAUCCAUGAGUAACCUGGCAGAACCAAAGGAGUGUUUGCUUGCGUUUCUCCAGUCUCAAAAUGCUUCUGCUGCUGUCGGACACUGGCUGUCACUGCUGCUUCAAGUACGUAAUACGAGUUGGAUUUACAGUAACUCAAUCUUGUUUUUUUUUAAAAUAUUCAUCUAAUUCUAUUCAUAGCUUAUGAAUUCCCCAUUUGGUUUAUCCUUCCUGUGUGAAGGCUGCAGAAGUUGAGGCAUCUAGAGGACAUCGUGGGAGUGCAAAUCUCCGAAGGGAAGCGUUUCUAACACUGCGUGUUCUUGUUGCCAAGGUAAGAGUACUGGGUUGCAAUCCUUAAUAUAACAGCAGCAAUCAAAUACUACAUAUUUGCUUUUUAGGAAGGCUGUCUUUUGAUUUGAUAUCUGAUUUUUGUAUUCUGCUAAUAUCAAACAAAUAAAUGGCAGCAUAGUUGAUUAUCUUGGCAAUGCCCUAUAAAGGUGCAUCUUUGGCAAUUUGCUAUGAAACUGGUUCAUGGGAACUGGUUUGGUGCCAAGAAUCAUCUGAAUCAAGCUCCAGCACAACUUGCUUCUAUUUGUGGUUCUCUCAUUCUUAAGUCGGUGAAUGUAUCAAUAAUCGUCACAUUCAAUUCUCUCUUUGGCGAUUUUCCAUGCAACUGGUUCUUGGGAACUGGUAUAGUGCCAAGAAACAUCUUGAGGCACCUCUAGCAGCACAUGCCAUUAUUUUUGGUUCUUUCUUCAAUUGAUGUAUAUGUCAAUACCAGUGCACCAUCAAUAGCGUGAAGUCACAUGCAUUUUAACAAUAGCAGUUGUGUAAAGAUCGAAGAUCUGGUGGUGUAUCUUCUUUGUGUUUUAUAUAUUAUUUGUAUUAUUUUGAGGUUUAUACAAUCAGACCACGAGGAGUUCUAGUCGGUGAUGGUAAGCUGUCUUUAAAGUUGGAUUUCAAUGAUGAGCCCAACAUGUCCUAUGAGGAAUUUACAUAAAGCAGUCUUUAGUGUUCCAUGGAGUCAGUUUCUACCAUUGUUUAUUGGCAAUAUGUGGUAAUGAAACUAAUUUCUUCUUAAGGAAAUAGCUAAAUCAUUAGUUCAAUAGGCUAUCAAAGAGCUUGAUUUCUUUGAAAUGGUGAAUCAGCCUGUGAAAACUAUUAAAUGAAAUCCCUUUCCUUGUUGGCGGUCUUAAUUUAGCUCAAUUUGAUAGCCAAGUGGUUAGACAAUUAUAGCAACAUCUGAAGAGGUAAGAGAAGGUGAAAUCAAUGAGAAAUGCAGCAAAUUUAGUUGAACUAAAGAAUAGUUAUAUGAUGAAGAUGAAUUGUCAGGAUCAUAAGAAAUUACACCAGUUUCUGACUCGCUUGAGGAGUGAUUUUUGCUUCAUUGUUUGAUGUCUUUAUUUUAGAAUCGCUUCCUAUUGUGUUUUCUCCAACUCUCCCUUUGCAGUGGAAUCUCUCGAGCUUGUUUGAAAUAAUGUGUUCUUUUUCAUUAUGAACUAAUCAAUCCUAUUGGGCAAUACCAUUCUCACUGUAGUUCUGACUUCAUACUUUUCUGAAGUCUUUUUCACAUUAAUAUUUCUUUCAAAUAUUUACAUUUGCAAUGAAAAGUGAACUCAAUUUAAUUUCUUAGGUUGGCUCUGCUGAUGCACUUGCCUUUUUUCUGCCUGGCAUUGUCAGUCGUUUUGCAAGAACACUCCAUGUAUCCAAGAAUAUGAUAAGUGGUCCUGCUGGAAGCACAUUGAGCAUUGAGCAUGCUGUUCUUGGGUUGACUGAGUUCUUGAUGAUAGUCCUAAAUGAUAAGGAAAAUCUUUGUGAGCCCCAGGUGUCGGGAAAUGAAACUACAGGGUUUUGUCCUUCUGACAGUAACUCCACUGAGUCUGUGCUGGCUUUACUACGUGAUUUACCCAUUAAUAUGCAAAAUCAAACCACGAACAUAAUCAAUCCAUUGGUCAAGGAUGGGGAUAAGGGUAAGAGCAAUAAUUAUCACUCUGAUGCAAGAUCCUUACAUGUGCAACGCACGAAGGAGUGGAUUGAUGAAACUGUCAAAAAUGUUGAUAAACUGCUGUCUGCGACAUUUCCACAUGUAUGCUUCAUAUUUCACUUGCCUUUAGUUUCUUGACUUAUAUAGAUGAGCAAUUUUCUGUCACUGCAUAUUGUCUUUUAUCCUUACUUUGUUGUAUGUUGUUUCUUCUGUUGUUUCUUCAGCUUUGUGUUCAUCCUGCAGACAAGGCAAGGAAAGCUCUUGUUGAUGGUAUGAGAGGGCUAUUGUUUAAUUGCAGUUACACUUUGAAGAGGAGCAAAUUAUUGCUUUUAGUGAGUUUUAGAUCUAUAUUUCCUGUAUAAUUUGUUUAUUUACUUGUAUGACUUGAAGCAUUUCCCACUGGUGAAAUUUCUUACCUUUGUUUACUGCUGCAGGAUUGUUUAUGCUUGCUGGUCUGUGAUGAUGCAGUUAUUGUGUCUGAAGCUGCAAAGGAGUCCCUUGAGUCAUUGUUCAUGCAGGGUAGGAGUCUAAUAACAGAACAAGAGAUUUCUGAAAUAUUUACCAGGUUUGCGCCUUAUUGGUUUUUUUGGUAAUUAGUGGACUCCAUUGCAGGAAAAAUGAAUUCAGUUUGUUUUUGUGCAACAGACUUAUUGAAAAGCUACCACGAGUGGUUCUUGGAAGUGAGGAGACAGUUGCGCUUUCACAUGCAAGGAGACUACUGGUCUUAAUUUAUUAUGCAGGUCCAGAGCUUGUCAUAAAUCAUUUUCUUCGUUCUCCUGUGAGUUGAUGUACUAUCUCAUCUUGCUUUAUUUGGCAUUUGUUAGAACAAAUUGAUUUGAUGGUUAAAAUUUAUUAGUUUCAAUCACCUGAUUUUCUCAAUGGAAGCAAUCUUUGCUUAUGUUUAUGACUUGAUUUUAUCAAUAUGUUAGAAUACGAUGCCUUGGCGGAACAAAAGUUUCUAUAACCCAAUACCCAUUGGAUACCACCUUUCUUUGCAACUUUCUCUGACCAUUUCAGCAUAAGCUUGAUAUAAAUAGGGGCUAAUCGUGAAAUCCCUAUACUUUUGUGUAUAUUCUUCAGAUGGUAUGGUGUAAACUUAAGAUCUGUUCUUCAUCAGAAGAAUCAGUGUAGUUCCUGUACAUCCAAGAAUUAACUUCUAGGAGUCGGAAUAUUUUGGUCAUAGUUGAUUUUUUUGUAAUCAUAAGAAAUUAUAUUUAAAUUGCGUCUGAAUGCUGAGCCAACCUUGAGCUCGGCUUGUUUAAGAAACUGAGCUCAAAAUCCUAGUUUGGAGUUGCCUCGCUUAAUAAUAUGUUAACUUGAGCUUGAACUGCUUACUUAGUUCCUUCUGUUAUUUUGAUUGUAAUCCUCAGUGCCCACUUUAGUUAUUUUAUUGACCUAUGCAAUCUUUUGCUGUUUUUUAUUUUUCUAAUUUUCUUCUACAAGUGUCUUGUGAAGCAUUAGCUAAUCUAUGAAUUAAGCUCGUCCCUCAUUUUUGGCAGGUAAAUGCUGCUUGUAUUGUUGAAUGUUUAGCCUUAUCCUUGAGUCCUAAUUCGCAAUUUUCGGGUUCUGUUGAUAAGCUCAUCUCAUCAAAGCCCCUUUCUGUUGGAUACUUAUUCUCUAUUGCCGAGUUAAAAGCUGGUGCCCAUCUUAAAGAUCUAAGUCAUGGAUUUGAUAGCUUUCCGUCACUUGCCUCCAAGAUAUCUGUCAUCCAAGAUAAUGACUUGCAUAAUCCUAUGCAUGUACAUAGCAGUGAUUAUGAGCUCCCUCAUAUACCUCCAUGGUUUGUUCAUGUUGGUAGCCAGAAACUCUACCUUGCGCUUGCUGGAAUCGUGAGACUCAUUGGUCUAUCCACUGUUGCAGGUACUACAUACUGUUUUCAUUUUGCAUCAUAAAUUUUGCUUCUUUAUAUAGUAAAACUAACUUUCAUCUAUAUAUAUAGCUCUGAAUUUGGUCAUUAUUUUUCUAUUUAUCUCUAUUUAUCUUAAUUUUAGGUCAAAAACCUUGUGUGUCGCUAUCGGUCCUUGUCGAUAUUCUGCUGGACCAUUUAAGGAAGUUGAUUUCAGAUCUUCGAACAACAGAUUUUAGUAAAGAUGGUUGGCGAGCAUGGUAUUUUCAGAGGGGCUCAGGACAGUUAAUGCGUCAGACAAGUGCAGCAGUUUGUAUGUUAAACGAAAUAAUAUAUGGUUUAUCAGAUCAAUCAAUCAAUCUGUACUUGAGGUUGUUCAGCAGGGCAGAAGAAACUGUUGAAACUUCUUGUAGUGUAGUUUGGAGGAUACUGUAUGAAAAUGGUACCAAGGACCAAAUAAUUCAUUCUAUAGGGAGUAUUCUACAUGAGUAUCUUUCUACUGAAGUAUGGGAGCUUCCGGUAGAUCAGCACUCACCAGUGCUUGAAAAUGAAACAGACAAUCUUCCUUUGCACUUUUUCCGUGAUACUACAAUGCUACACCAAGUAAUAUUUGCACCAUUUUCGCUCAUUAAUUAUUUUUUCUUUUCUCUUUGUUUUUGCUUGUACAUAAUAAUGUGUUUGGUUUCAAUGUUCAGGUUAUUAUAGAUGGAAUAGGAAUCUGUGGUAUACUUCUUGGAAAAGAUUUUGAGCGCAGUGGAUUUAUGCACUCUUCCCUCUAUAUGUUGCUUCAAAAGCUUAUCAGCUCCAGUAUUCCAAUAAGAAUUGCAUCUGAUGCUGUCUUAAAAGUGCUUGCUGCUGCUUCUGGCUCUGUCACGGUAGGUGCAUGCAGUGUCCCACUGUCGAGUAGAGAAAUCAUAGUUUAUGCUUUUUAUGUCUUUUUCAAACAGGUGGCGCAGCUAGUUGUGGCAAAUGCGGACUACAUUGUCGAUUCUAUGUGCAGACAACUGCGGCAUUUGGAUCUCAAUCCCCAUGUUCCGGACGUGCUUGCUUCUAUGCUAUCAUAUAUUGGUGCUGCUCAGGAUAUCCUGCCAUUAUUAGAAGAGCCGGUAUAAUAUAUCUUUCACAUGAUCAAAUUGUUUUUCUUAUCAUUGCCUUGUUAUGCUAUUUUAUAGAAUACUUAGCUUGAUCUGAAAGCAUUACUCACUGGCCCUUUGUCUAGGUAGAUGGUAAUUAACCAUUGUGACUUGAUCCAAAGUGAAUUUGCAAUAGUUUUUGUUCUGAAGAAUGGGACUAUGAACCCAUCUGAUCAUGCUCUAGUUUUCUUGCUUUGUUCAUCUGAAAAUAGUCCAUGUACUGGAAGAUUGCAUUUCUUAGCAAUAAAACAUCAAUUAACUGGGUAGUAUACUUAAGAUACUAAGAAUCUUAACUGGGUAGUAUACUUGACAAGUCAGAGAAUUUAGUGAGAGAAUGAAAAGGAUAACCAUGGCUAGUCAGAGUUUAAUUCAAUAAUUUUGUUCAAAAUACUAAUGCAAGCAAGUUUUUCAUGACAUUCCAGCCAAAUUUGGUCAGGAGAGUAUUCUCAAGUGUACAAUGUAAAUUUGACUGAAGCAGCCAGUUUACCUAAAUAGUUGCAGUUUACAAUCUGAUAUUUCUCCGUUUGCAGCUUUAUAGGGCACUCAUUGGUGGUUUUCUUAUAAAACAGUUCUGUUCUGAAAAUGCUUCAAUUAUUCUAUUGAUCCUCAUGAUUUCCCAAAAGACAAUGUAUGCCAUAAACAAGUUCUGAAAAUGCUUCAAUUAUUCUAUUGAUCCUCAUGAUUUCCCAAAAGACAAUGUAAGCCAUAAACAAGUUCUGGCCAAGAAGUGCUGUAUUAUUUCUAAACUUGCCAUUGUCGCUUUGUGCAAAAGAUAACUUUGUAAUCUUUGACUUUUCAUUCUUGCUCGCCAGCUUAUUUGCUCAAUAAUUUUGGCUGUGGGUUCCUGUUCCAUAACUUUGUUUGAUCAGUUUUGCAAAAUUUUCAGAUGCGAGCUGUUUCUUUAGAGCUGGAGGUCCUUGGUAGGCAUGAACACCCACAUUUGACUGUUUCAUUCCUAAAGGUUAAACUUUUUCUGAUUUUUGACCUUAUUAAAUUGAUAUCCUUUAACUAUUCCUUGAGUUGAAAUGCUUGAUCUCCAUUUUGGCACCCCGUGUGUCUAUGUGAUGUUAUUUCCUAGUAGCUGCUCUUACAUAACGAAUUCUGUUUUUAUGAGCUAGUCCAAAAUGGUGAUUGGUGAGACAACUCAUGUAAUGUGAAAAGAACAAAAGAGGAGCCUAAGAACAUUUUGCAUAGAAGCUAAUAGGACACAGCUUUACAUGCUUUUGUUAUGAAAGAUAACAAAAUUUUCUCGCUACAGUCAUAACCCCCUCUUCUGAUUUAUCCAUUAUUUAGUCUUGCAUUGAGUGGAUAUAUGUCAAAUUGUGAAUCAGUCUUACUGUUUUCCCCCCCUUUAUUUAGGCUGUCGGUGAAAUUACUAAGGCAUCAAAAUGUGAGGCUUGUAGGUUGCCUGAUGAGGCCCAGUCAUUUUAUGCAGAAGUUAAUUCUCAGGUUCAUAUUAUUCAGACUAUGGUGAAGAUGAAUCAGAACGGAAAUAGUGUACUUUCAGGUAAUAUCUUCCGUUACAGUUAUUUCUUUUUUGUUUGUGGUAUUUAGUUGUAGGGAAUUCUCUCCAAUAUCUAGUUGAUUUGUUGCUUUAAAGACUGUAUAUAGCAUACGGAAUUACACAAUUAUCUUGAUUAACUUGUUGAUCUUUUUUUAUUAUUUAUGCCAAUAUCUCUUGUAUUUCACAGAGAAAGAUGGAGCAAGACAUAUUGUUUGCACUUAAUUGUUCUGAAAAUUACAGAUCAUUACUGAAAGUUCAUUAUGGCUGCCUCAAACGCCUUUGAUUAUCAAAUAAACUAUUUACAUAUGGGACUGUAAUUGUAUAUACUCAUAACUGUAAUUUGAUAUGAUGCAUGCUGGCAUGUGCUUUACUCUUUAUUAAUGACUUUUAAGAAGUCAAUUGCGUUCUUCUAGUUGUUACUUUGUUCAUGGCAUUUAUUUUGUUACCUCUGCUAGCUUUUGUACCUUGUAACUUUUUUCAUUCUUUAUAAAUGGUUUAUGUGAAAUUUGCUUGUGAUAUAAUCAGAAAACUUGGAACUCAAUCCCAAAAGUGAUUACCUUUCUUUGGAAUAUUGGGAGGAUUCGUUAUGCAAGAUGAAUGAAAUGAGAAGAUACAGGCGAAUAGUUGGAUCUCUUGCUGGCUCUUGCUUAACAGCUGCGACUCCACUUCUUUCUUCACUAAAAGGGCCAGCUUGUCUGGUGGCCCUUGACAUUGUGGAGGUAUUAUAUUGAUUGUGUUGAUAUUAAAUAUGUUUUUCUUAUGUUGAUUUAUUUUAUACUUUUAAGUUUAUUCUUCUGGUUUAUUCUCAAAUAAUUAGUUUUAAAUGCAAAAACAGAAACAAAUGUUUAAUUAGUUGGCUAAUACAACCUGAAAUAUUUUGGUUAUUACUACUGGAGUAGAAUAAAAAUGAAUAGGGUGUUGGCUAUGCAGAUAACAGUUAGAACCUUUCUGCCUAUCUGUAGUUUCAUUUUUGUUCAGAAUGCAGUCAUAUCUAUUGCUAAAGUGGAGGAAGCUUACAAGCAUGAGAAGCAAACCAAAGCUGCAAUUGAGAAAGCAAUUCAUCUUUUGUCGUUUAAUGAUCUCGAAGAUGCUAUGGAUGCUGCGGACGAAGAUGUUGAUGAGAAUAGACUGCUUCCAGCUAUGAACAAGAUCUGGCCAUACUUUAUUAUUUGCCUUAAAAAUAAGAUUUCAGUGGUACUAUAUCUUCCACUUUCGCUUUCAUAGAGCACAUUGAAGAAAUCCUUUUUUUUUCCUCUCUUUCUUCACCUACCUUGCUUGUGGAGGUGUUAAUUUUUAUCCUAGAAUGCAGAAGUAAUUUUGCUUGUUUAUUCAGAAUAACCAGCUUUAUUCCUUUCCAUUAUUAGUUUCUAAUAGUUCUUUUCUUCCUACAAAAAAAAAAGUGUACUUUUCUUCGUGUAAAAUAAUAUAUCCUUUUGGAAUUAGUAAUGCUUUGUAGAAGCUAAUGAAUUGUUUAGCUUAUCUAAAAGUAAUUAUAAACAACUUUUUGAGUCUAUAAAAACAAAACUAACCACUAGCUGUCUUGUGUUGAUUGCAGUCUGUUGUCAAGAAAUGCACGAGUGUCUUAAGCAUAGCAAUAAAGAUAUCUGGUGGGGACUUCUUUGUUCGUCGGUUCCAUAAUGACGGACCCGUUAUUUGGAAGCUCCUGACUGUAUCACCAUUUCGGAGAAAACCCCUGCAAUCAAAGGACGAAAGAGCAAUCGUUCUACCCUACAGAGCUAACUCUCCAUCUACCGAGGAGCCAAUGGCUGAGAUCUCUCACCAGAAAAUCCAGGCUUCAGUCCUAGAAAUGAUUGCUGAGAUUUCCUCCAAUAAAAGAAGUGCCACAGCAUUAGAGAGUGUCCUAAAGAAGGUCAGUGGCCUUGUUGUAGGGAUUGCAUGCAACAGCACGACAGGGCUUCUUCGAGAAGCUGCUUUAAAGGCUUUGGAAGGACUUUCCUCUAUUGAUCCGGACCUGAUAUGGCUUCUUCUAGCUGAUGUGUAUUACUCGUUGAACAAGAAGGAAACGUCUGCCCCACCAUGUAAUGAUUUAUCUGGGAUUUCACAGCUUCUACCGCCGCCGUUGUCUUCGAAAGAGUACCUGUAUGUGCUGUAUGGUGGAGAGAGUUUUGGGCAUGAUAUAGAUCCCUUGGCGGUUGAGAUGGCAUUUAAAAGGAUAGAUACUGAGAUAUCUGUAUGAUACAUCUGUAGAUAGUUAUAGAAACUUUUACCAUAAUUUUAGGGUUCUCUCAAAUGGCCACAGGAUGUAAAUAGUGUGACGUCUCUGUAAGUUGUUUAGCCUCUGCUUAUCCCUUUUCCCUUUUCCCUUUGCCUCUUUGCUUUUCUCGCACAUUAUACCCGGCUGCAACAAAAUUGCUUGGAGUGUUUGGGAGUGCAAUUGCUUGGAGUGUUUAGGUAGUAUGCUAAUUUUGAAGUAGGCAAAGUUUCUGCUCCGAACCGCUGCUCGCAAGUCUUGAAGGAAAUGAAUGACUAAAUCAUGUGCAACUCGACCUUUGUUCUUUGUCAGUUAAUACUUGUAAAGAGGCAUAUCACAGUUAAAUGUUUGUAAAUAUCAUUGUAACCACUGACUUGCUGUCAAAAAUUAAGUUAUCUGAUGCUUUGGAGGUAAAAUAAGGCAAUGCAUAUCGUAGCAGAUUAUGUUGUUAGAGAUACUUCCUCCAAUGCACAUGGCCCUUUGGAACCCCCUCGUGCUUGAGGGAAGUGUUCUGGUUCACGGAGAUGGAUGAGCGCUCAGGUUUAACCGAGUUAUAAACCUUGUCCGCCUAUCACUGCAUAAAUGCUUAAGUUGUUUAUUUAGACUAGUUUUUAUAUAAUUUCAUUAGACAGCAAUAUAUUUUUGCAAGUUGUUCAUUUUUCUCUCUUAAGUUGUAGUUUUCAAGCUUAUCAUGAAAGUGUCAAAGUGCUUUUUGGGCUGAUAGUUUCUUCAUGUGAUAUCGAGUGAAUCGCAGUAUACUUAGCAAUAGCACGUACCAGUUUGUACGUCAACAGGAGGAUCGCUAUACUAAUUUUAAGCAGCAGCCAACCGCCACAAUACUGUGACCAAAGGUUAUCACGGACGGUCCAUCUAUCUCCAUACACCAAAAUAAUUAUGCUCUUAAAAAAAUUUAAUAUGAUCUUUAACACGCCUAACAUGCCUACAAAACGCACCACAGACAAAUACAACCAUGAAACAACACACACAAAACAUGAGUACUGCACUAGCAAAUACAUUUUGCCAUGGCAGUUUAAUUGUGAAGAAUUUAUUUGCAUCUCAAAUGGCUAUACAAAAGAAAACUUGGCAUUGUUAUUGCAUGAUCAGCAGCCCCCAGGCAUGAAAGAAGAUGCAGAGGCAAUAUAUUUUUCCAAGGAAUGCUUUUCAUGAAAACAAAUGAAUGCCAGUAUGGUCGCAUGAAUGAAAAGGAUAUAAUCACUGUUAUAAAACCCGAGAAUUAUUGUGACAGCUGAUCUAGCAAAGGACUACCUUCUUUGGCAAGAAUAAAUAACCCACCAUCACCCCUCGAGAUUCUGAAGUCCUCAUCAAGGUAAGUUGUUAAAAGCCAUGCCUCAGCCCUGUUUCCAGGGAGGGGGACCGUUAGAGGUCGCUGCCCAGAAAUAGUGCGAGUGAUGUUUGCAAGGGCCUCCUGAAUGGGGUUGAGUGAUUGUUGAACUGGUCUCAGGCUAAUCUUCUGCCCCAAAAUAUCGACUUGCUCAGGUAGAUCUACUGUAGAUGAUAUAGAGGGAGGCUGAAAUGUUCCCUCCUCGAAUUGGACCUGCAUUCGGCAAAAGGAUUAAUUAGACGUCAUUGAACUGAACUAGUGUUGGUCCUUACUCCAUAGGAACCCACCGGAAGGCUACUUCUAUUAAUUUUCUGAUAAUCUAGUACUAAAGCUUAAAUUGAUCCCAUGGAUUUCAUAAUGGAAAGGGAUGUGCAGUGCCAUGAUCAACAAGGGCACUACCGGGGGACCAAUAGCUGAGCUCAAAGUGAUUUAAUGGUGCAACAAAAAUGGUCCAGAGCUGCUCAUGCGCUAUUUAAGCAACGUUCUACCAACAAGGUCUGUUCAAAGAAUUUGGCAGUUCUCUUUUGUGUAGAAUUGUCAUUGUAAUUAGACAAUACAAAAAAGCAAGACAAUUUAGGAACAUAUGAGCAACUCUACAAUAUUAUUGUAUUUAUGCGCAUCAGUUUUGGCGUUAAUUGUAGACAUCUGACAAUAGAACAUGGUUUGUCUGAAAGCCUCUCAUCCAAACAAUCAUAAUCACAACUAGAACAAGCAAGUAAAAAAAUAUUACAUAAAAAAAAUGCCCUACUAAACUCAAAAUGUAAAUCACCAUAAAUGUGAAAUAUAAUCAAGUUAUCUUUUUCAGAAGAUCCCAAGAAAGUCAUGCAUAAUUAUACCUUUAUUCUUGAUGGACUUCUGACUUCAAAAGAAGCAGAUGCGCUGAAGGUGAAAGAGGCAAAUGGACUGGAGAGAGUUGUAGAAUUCACUAUCUUCAUACUUUUGGUGUCGAUCUCUUGAGUUAUCUGUUUAACUUUCAGCAAUGGUGUAGCCCCAACAGCUAGAAGAGGUAAAAGCUCAGAAAAUGCUGUAUACCUAGAGUAACCAGUCCAUAAAUAGACAAGUGUCAGACGAUAGUAGCCUGAAUCCAAACAUUGCAAAUAUUUGUACCUACUUGGAACUAUGACGAUGUCCUACAUUUAGAUAAUUCAAAAACUAGUGCUUUUUAUCUCUGGAAAGUUAGGCAGAAGGAAUAAGUGCAUUAGCAAUAAGAAAGUUAAAACUUUACUAGCGACAGAGACUACAUGAAGCAGUCUGGGGAACAAAACUGUUAACUUCAAGGUUUCAAAGCAUGCAGCAUGAAUUUGUUAAGACACACAAUGCUUUGCUAGACAGUGCUCAAUAGCAGGAUGGCAAAUGCUUGCACCAUGUCUUGAUACUACAAUUGCUCGCAGGCAUUGCUAGCUGCAGCUUACACCAACAUGGAUACAUGAUGAAAGCUAUGAGAUAUAAUUACUGGUUUCAAGAACUAGGGCAUACCGUAGGUGAUGACUGUAUGAAAACUUAUACCCACCUAUAGCAUGCAUACAUGAGAUUGUAGAGUGAAAUAAUCUACUUCGGAAUUAUACACGAGAAAAGAACCUAAGUGUAGUGUGCACUGCAAUGGGGUACUUAGUCUCCAUAUGGCCCAUUGAAAUGGAAUGCCAUGUCUAAGGACCUAGUAAUGCCAUAUAAUUAAGCUAACAUGCUAUAAUUUAAACAGCUGAAUUCAAUAUAGAAAAUCAUUGAAAUAAUUAUUGAAGCUUGACCAAAUUACAAUCUAAAUCUAGAAUAAAUUCAAACUAACAAUAAAUCAAGCAAUAAAAGGAACAGAUCGACUCACAGAAGGAUCCAUUUCCCAUCAAGAAGCUCCGGCGCCUCGGUCGGUGCCGGUGUCGGAUUCUCCGCCUCGAGCUGGUUGACCAGCUCCAAGAUCUCAGCCCUCGUAUCUGCCGAAGCCCUAAAUCCAAACUCCGUCCCGUAGAUAGAAUCGACAAGGCACUGCUUCAACUCCCCGAGCUUAUCGGCCUCGGGCACCGGGCUACCAUUGCCGGUCCAGAACCCUCCCUCUCCGGGCUCCCUUCCCCACUCGUCCUCGUCCUCGUCCUUCGGAGGAUCAGCCGAAGAAGAAGGCGUCUCCGGCUCCGGUUCCCCCUUCUCGCCCCACUCAUCAGCGAUCGCCCCCGCGUUUCCCCCGAUCCCCACGGGAUCCCGCCCCCACUCGUCCUCGUCCUCGUCCUCGUCCUUGGGCGGAUCCGCCUCCGACGGCUCCUCCGGCUCCGGCGGCGUCUUCUCGCCCCAUUCGUCGGGGAUUCCGGGCGCCUGGGCGGAGGGAUCUUCGUCGGGGGGGCGUCGCGGGAACCGCUCCGGUCGGGAGGCGGCGGAGGGUGCGGAAAGGGAGAGGAGCCUAGGGUUUCGCGGGCGACGAGCGAGGAAGGGGAGGGAUAGGAUUUGGGGGUGGCGCGAGAGGGGGAGGAGGAGGCGAUGGGGGUAAGGGUUUGGGGAGAAGAGGCAGGCGUGGGAGGAGGUCAAGAGACAAGCCAUUGUUGUCGUUGAAUCAGCGCCUCACGAGCGAGAGGGACUGAGGGAGCUAAAGAACGAAGGGAAUGAACUCGCACCGAAGAAUGUACACCACGAACCAAACCGAACCGAUUCACUUCAAACUCUCGGUCUACGGUAACGUGAUCCGGCCCAAAAUAUUACUAACUCAGCCCAUAUUGGCCUGGCCUUUUAUCGGCCCCGUUAGUAAAGUAGGCAGCGAGAAGUCCACUUCACAUUAGCGUCAAAAAUACGGGACGUGAGGUGUUUCGGGUCCGGCCCAAUGAGGUCCGUUAAACUGAGAAUGGCCGGUGCCGAAGUUAUUGUGUGCACCCGGUGUCUCCGUACAUACCAUGAACCACGCUCCUUUUUCUUUAAUCAGUAGAUGUGAUGUGCAAUCUCCAAGGAAAAAAAAAAAAGUAUACUAGUAAAAAUUUACACGUUUUGUGAGUUCAUGACUUCAUGUCAAAUGGUAUAAAAAACUGAUGGUAAUAGAGUAAGUGUUUUAUUUAUUUAUUUAUAUAUAAAGAAACUUAUCUCUUAAAAUUUCGCUUAUUUGAUAUGUGGAUAUUUUUCUCAAAUAUUCUAGAACACAUUCAAGUUUGAUUUAUAAAUCCCUGAUGCGGGAUUUAGAUGUGAGAUGUACUUGAACACCCGGUGCAAGCAAUAAUUUGAACUUCGAAUGUUGGCCCUAGUUGGCCAACAGAUUUAAACAGACGAGCCCGUAAUUCAACAGAAAAACCGAUCCGAAGUCUCCAGCAGCGAUCUAUGAUCUAUCCAUCUCCAAUCUCCAAUAAUAAUAAUAAACCCCGCUCCAUAAGAAGAGUUUAAUAUCAGAGGAGGCUCCUCAUCUCACUGGCACAGUGUACCAUCGCUACCAUCAGAGCCGUCCAUUCGACGUGUCUCCACCCCCCAAAUUGCCCAUCCCCAGCCGACGCUGCAAUAGGCCGCGUAAUCUCAACUCCNGUUAUUGUGUGCACCCGGUGUCUCCGUACAUACCAUGAACCACGCUUCUUUUUCUUUAAUCAGUAGAUGUGAUGUGCAAUCUCCAAGGAAAAAAAAAAGAAGAAGGAUACUAGUAAAAAUUUACACGUUUUGUGAGUUCAUGACUUCAUAUCAAAUGGUAUAAAAAACUGAUGGUAAUAGAGUAAGUGUUUUAUUUAUUUAUUUAUAAAGAAACUUAUCUCUUAAAAUUUCGCUUAUUUGAUAUGUGGAUAUUUUUUUCUCAAUAUUCUAGAACACAUUCAAGUUUGAUUUAUAAAUCCCUGAUGCGGGAUUUAGAUGUGAGAUGUACUUGAACACCCGGUGCAAGCAACAAUUUGAACUUCGAAUGUUGGGCCUAGUUGGCCAACAGAUUUAAACAGAAGAGCCCGUAAUUCAACAGAAAAACCGAUCCGAAGUCUCCAGCAGCGAUCUAUCAUCUAUCCAUCUCCAAUCUCCAAAUCUCCAAUAAUAAUAAUAAUAAUAAUAAUAAUAAUAAACCCCGCUCCAUAAGAAGAGUUUAAUAUCAGAGGAGGCUCCUCAUCUCUCUGGCACAGUGUUCGAUCGCUACCAUCAGAGCCGUCCAUUCGACGUGUCUCCACCCCCCAAAUUGCCCAUCCCCAACCGACGCUGCAAUAGGCCGCGUAAUCUCAACUCCGCCGUCUCCUUCCUCCCCGACAAAUUCCCGUUCUCCGAUACCCCACAAAAAAAAACAUUAAAAUAAAAAAUAUUUGUAUAGUGUCGACCAUCGAGGACGACGACGACGACGACGACGACGACGACGAAGCGAUCGGUACCUUACCCCGUCCCUGUUCAAGUGAAACCCUAGAGGGUGGUGCUUUCGAUCUGGGGAUCGCGGCGCGAGAUCGGGAGCCCUGGGGGCGAAUCAAUCGCGUCCUGCGGCGGCGGCGGCGGCGGCGGCGAUCCCGCGCUCUGGCCCCUUCACCUUCCUCUGGAACCCUAAAGCCCGCCGCCCCACCUACCUCCUAGACUCCCUCCCCGCAAUGGACUUCGUCAGCCGCCACGCCGCCGCCGCCGACAACCACCAGCCCCCUCCUCCCCCUCCCUCCGAGCCCUCCACCUCCCCCCGCGCCGCCGCGGGAUCCUCCUCCUCCUCCUCCUCCGCCGCCGCCCCCGCCGUCGCCGAGGAGCCCGAGUACCUCGCCCGCUACUUGGUGGUGAAGCAUUCAUGGCGGGGGCGCUACAAGCGGAUCCUCUGCAUCUCCAGCUCCACGAUCAUCACACUGGACCCCACCACGCUGGCGGUGACCAACUCCUACGACGCCGCCCCCGACUUCGAGGGGGCGGCGCCGGUUCUCGGCCGCGGCGACGAUGCGGGCGCGUUGGAGUUCACUCUCAGCGUCCGCACCGACGGCCGCGGCAAGUUCAAGGCGAUCAAGUUCUCGUCGCGGCUUCGGGCGAGCAUCCUCACAGAGCUGCAUCGACUUCGCCGGGCCAAGCUCGGGCCCGUUAUGGAGUUCCCCGUCCUCCACCUCCGCCGCAGGACCUCUGAGUGGGCCCCCUUCGUAAGCAGCCUCACCUCUUAUCCUCGGUCAAUCCUCAUCCUGUUUCUUUCCAAUUUUGUUAGUAUACGUCCCCCCUUCAAUUUCUCGUUGUGUAAAUAGGUAUGCGACGGUGGAUCGCACUAGCUUUCGCUAAUUUGAAAUUCCUUUGGAAUAUGCGAUGUUUGCGCUUUCGGACUUCCUUCCAAAUUAAAAGGAUGCAUUUUUUGCUUGAUGAUUUAAUUUACGAUGGUGUUGUUGGCAUUAAUCUUUGUGCAGAAAUUAAAAGUUACUUCUGUUGGCGUUGAACUUCUCGAAGGACUGUCCGGAGAUCGGCGGUGGUGUCUGGAUUUUAGAGACAUGGAUUCCCCUGCCAUCAUUCUUUUAGCUGACAGCUAUGGAAAGAGGACUCCUGAAGGUGGAGGGUUUGUUCUCUGCCCUCUGUAUGGAAGGAAAAGGAAAGCCUUCAUGGCUUCCUCUGGGGCUACGAACACCGGAAUUAUUUCGUAUUUGGUACUUCAGUCUCUCCUUGUUUGGUCUUACAUAGCAGCAACCGGAUCAUUACUUGGUGUUGUUUUGUAAUCAUUUUCUAUGCUCUUAAUGUUCCAGACUAAAACCGCAAAAUCUACAGUUGGAUUGACUUUGUCUGUGGACAGCUCUCAGGCGAUGACAGCGGCAGAUUUUAUUGCUAGCAGAGGUAAGUUUACAUCAGAAUUUCUGUCUAUUUGGACUUAUGUAUUUGUUGUCCUUAUGUUUGGGUUAUUUUAGUUCCAGCUGAAUUUAACUGAUUGUUUUUUGAAGUGUUGAGAACUUGCACAUUUUACUGAUGCCGGUUGCUCUAUUUCCUUCUAUUUUGUUUUUGAAAUCUAUCGCUGAUGUUAGUUUAACUUCUUCAAUAGUUCAUUACAAUUUUCAGCAAAGGAGGCAGUUGGAGCGAAUGAAACCCCAUAUGGAGGAUGGUCUGUUAUAAGGUUACGCCCUGCGGCUCAUGGAACUGCUAACAUUGAGAGCUUAAGUUUGGGAAUUGGACCCAAGGGAGGACUUGGAGAUCAAGGUGAUGCUGUAUCACGCCAACUAAUUCUUACAAAGGUUUCACUUGUUGAGAGGCGGCCUGAAAAUUAUGAGGUAGCUACAAUCUUGUCCUGCUUUCUGUUGAAUGUAGUACAAACUAAGAUGUCGUGAUGUAUUUUUUGGCUUUUCCUCAAAUGUUCUUUGGCUGAUAAAGAAGUGGUGUCCAGGCUGUUAUUGUUCGACCUCUAUCUGCUGUAAGUAGUCUUGUUCGAUUUGCGGAAGAGCCACAAAUGUUUGCUGUUGAAUUCAAUGAUGGCUGCCCCAUUCAUGUAAGUCUCUGCUGAAUAUAAUUUCACCAUGUUACGGAGAAACUUCUUCUAAUUCUGCAACUCUUAACUCCAGGUAUAUGCUAGUACUUCUCGUGAUAGCUUGCUUGCAGCAGUUCGUGAUGUUCUGCAAACUGAGGUUAGUUAUUCAUCUUUUUCUAAGAAUGUUUUCUUGGAGAGGCAAUCUUGCAGGCUUUAUGCUUGAACAUGAAAUAUGCAUCCUGAUAUGUGCACACAGAUAUACUUAUGUUAAUCUUCUUUUCUUCUACUUGAUGCAGGGUCAGUGCGCUGUACCAGUGCUCCCUAGGUUGACAAUGCCCGGUCAUCGCAUUGAUCCGCCUUGUGGAAGAGCAUAUCUUCAGAUACAUCAGCUUCCUCAACAGCGUUCUGUUGCUGAUUUGGAGAGUGCAACAAUGCAUAUUAAACAUUUAGCUGCAGCUGCUAAAGAUACUGUAGCUGAAGGAGGGUCAGUUCCAGGCUCAAGAGCAAGAUUGUGGCGCCGAAUAAGGGAAUUUAAUGCAUGCAUACCCUACAGUGGCAUUCCUGUCAAUAUUGAGGUGCCCGAAGUCGUCUUGAUGGCUUUAAUCACAAUGCUCCCCGCCACACCAAACCUUCCCCCAGAAGCGCCCCCACCUCCGCCCCCAUCACCAAAAGCAGCGGCAACAGUGAUGGGGUUCAUUGCGUGUUUGCGUAGGUUACUUGCAUCGAGAAAUGCAGCAUCUCAUGUUAUGUCUUUUCCUGCUGCCGUUGGGAGAAUAAUGGGGCUACUCAGAAAUGGUUCAGAGGGAGUAGCGGCAGAGGCUGCAGGACUUGUAGCUAUGCUCGUCGGUGGUGGUCCUGGCGAUACUAGCAUGUUGAUGGAUACAAAGGGGGAGGGGCAUGCCACUUACAUGCAUACUAAGUCUGUCCUGUUUGCACAUCAGGCCUACGUCACUAUUAUUGUUAAUAGGCUGAAACCGACAUCUGUCUCGCCUUUAUUGUCAAUGUCUGUCGUGGAGAUCCUUGAAGCUAUGCUUUGUGAGCCCCACGGUGAAACAACCCAACACACUACUUUUGUUGAGUUUCUACGCGAAGUUGCUGGCCUGCGGCGUCGCUUGUUCGCGUUGUUUGGGCACCCUGCUGAAAGUGUGAGAGAGACCGUGGCUGUUAUUAUGCGAACUAUUGCGGAGGAAGAUGCAAUUGCAGCAGAAUCCAUGCGCGAUGCUGCAUUGAGAGAUGGUGCUUUAUUAAGACACUUGCUUCAUGCUUUCUUUCUCCCCGCUGGCGAGCGCCGUGAUGUUAGUCGGCAGCUUGUCGCCCUGUGGGCAGAUUCUUAUCAACCUGCCCUCGAUUUGCUGUCACGAGUUCUUCCUCCUGGUCUUGUUGCUUAUCUUCAUACUCGUACGGAUAUAAACUCUGAAGAUUCUCAGAAUCAGUAUGAAGAGGCACCAUUAAGUAGAAGGCACCGACGCAUACUGCAGCAGAGGAGGGUCCGGAUUGGUAGAGGCAUAACAAACCAGGAACAUGGGAUUCCUACUAAUAACGUUGAAGAUGGUGAAUUUGCAAGGCAUGCUGGUACCAGUGCUUACGGAGAGCCGGAAGCAUAUCAGAGACCUAUUCAAGAGUCAAAUGUAUUUCCCUCUGCAUUUCCAGGUAUGAACCAGAAUGCGGAACCUUCCCAUGCACUUCUGCAUAAUGCUGCUUCUGGAGCUGUUGUCGCCGAUAAUGUUCAGCAAGCUGGUAUCUCACAGAUGUCGGGUCCUUGUUCUUCUGAUUUAGUAGACUCUAAAGCUAGCCUUCAUGGUUCUAUGAAUUCGGAUCUUCCAGCCCCUGCUCAGGUUGUUGUGGAGAACACCCCUGUAGGAUCUGGCAGGUUAUUAUGCAAUUGGCAAGGAUUUUGGAAAGCAUUUGGGCUGGAUCACAAUCGAGCGGAUUUAAUCUGGAAUGAACGUACCAGGCAAGAACUGAGAGAAGCUUUACACGCUGAAGUUCAUAAACUAGAUGUUGAGAAGGAAAGAACUGAGGACAUUGUCCCUGGAAGUGCAAUGCCUGAGGAUGGUAGUGCCUAUGAUAAUGCACCUCGGAUAUCUUGGAACUAUGCUGAGUUUUCAGUUAGCUACCCUAGCUUAUCAAAAGAAGUCUGUGUGGGCCAGUAUUAUUUGAGACUGCUGCUUGAUAGUGGAAACAGCUGUCGUGCGCAGGAUUUUCCAUUGCGUGAUCCAGCUGCAUUUUUUAGAGCAUUAUAUCAUCGUUUCUUAUGUGAUGCAGACAUAGGGCUUACUGUGGAUGGUGCUAUUCCUGAUGAAUUGGGUUUAUCAGAUGAUUGGUGUGACAUGGGGAGAUUGGAUGGCUUCGGUGGAGGUGGAGGGUCUGCAGUAAGAGAGCUUUGUGCAAGGGCAAUGGCUAUUGUUUAUGAGCAGCAUUAUAAAACAAUUGGACCUUUUGACGGUGCUGCUCAUAUUACAGUUCUUUUGGACAGAACAGAUGAUCGUGCAUUGAGGCACCGUCUGCUUCUUUUACUAAAAGUACUUCCGCAAUUGCAUCUAAUAUGAAAAUACAGCUACAUUUGUUUUUUUUUUUUAUGUAAAAAACACUUGUGUCUUCUUGGUCUUUCUUCUACUAGACUUGAUUUUAAGUAAAGACUGAAAUAGCUUCAAAAGAUUCAGAUGCUUUUCAGAAUCUCUUUGCUCCAUAAUAACUGAUUUAUUCUGUUAGCUGCCUACUUAAGUUGGCUACUUGAAUCGGUGAGUACUAAAUUCUUUCUUCUUUCCCUCCCAUUUUUGCAGGUCCUAAUGAAAAAUCUUUCCAAUGUUGAAGCAUGUGUUUUGGUUGGGGGUUGUGUUUUGGCUGUUGAUCUUCUAACCGUUGCUCAUGAAGCUUCUGAGAGGACUGCUAUACCUUUGCAAUCAAAUCUGAUUGCAGCUACAGCUUAUAUGGAACCACUAAAGGAAUGGAUGUACAUUGACAAAGAUGGUGAACAAGUUGGCCCUCUCGAAAAAGAUGCUAUCAGAAGAUUAUGGUCAAAGAAGGCCAUUGAUUGGACCACCAGAUGUUGGGCCUUUGGAAUGACUGACUGGAAAAGGCUGCGUGACAUCCGUGAAUUGCGUUGGGCAUUGGCGAAUCGAGUUCCUGUUUUAACCCCAAUUCAGGUAUCUUGCCAUAAAAUUACCAUCAUCUUAUUUAGAACAUAGAUAGAAGUUGACAGGAAAGACAAUUUAUGAUAAUAUAGUUCUAGCACCAUUACUUAGGUAGCUUUUUAACCUGUAAUAUUUGCUUUCUUAUAGUAAUAGUCUAUUUCCAGUUUUCUCCUUCUCCUUGAAGAUUUUCAUUGUUGGAAACUAUGCUUUAGAGUUAGACCUUUGGUUGUAAUUACUUCGCAGCAAGGUUUUAAGUGCCCGUCGGCACGGACCGUAUCCACCGUGCCGUACCAUGCCAACAAGAUACCGGCACGAUACAGACCCCGUGCCGAUAGCACGGCUCAAAACCCUCUAUUCUUUAAAUUAGUAAGUAAUUUUCUCAAUAAAGUUCAAAAGAUGUGAUAAAAAGACAUAAUAAAAAUGUUAGAAUAUUUUGUUGCUUAAGAAAAUAAAUAUUUCAUGCUAUUAUGUGUUGGCACACAAGAAUUUUUUUGACCGGUACGCAUCGGCACCGCUCGGCACGGCUGGACAUGCACCGUGCCGUACUGUGCCAGCAAGUUUCCGGCACGACCCCGUGCCACGGCACUUAAAUCCUUGCUUCGCAGAUUUGUGAUUGCAUGUUAAAAAAGUUUCAUAUUCUUCCUCUCUACUUAAGCUCUAUUUUUACAGGGAUGAUUGAGAUUCUUAUGGUUUUCUGCAAUGUGUCAGCACUCUGUGGUAUUUCAUUUAAAGUAGAUAAAUGAAUAUCCAACAAUGUGAUUUUCUCCUGCAUACUGAGUAUACUUUAAUUUGAAUGCUUGGACUAUUGAAACAAAGGAGUUCUGUAUUCAGGUAGGCGAGGCUGCAUUGUCUAUAUUACAUACCAUGGCAUCUGCCCAUUCUGAUCUUGAUGAUGCGGGAGAGAUUGUUACUCCAACACCAAGAGUGAAACGAAUUUUAUCCAGUCCUAGAUGUCUUCCGCAUGUUGCUCAGGUACUUUCGAGUCUACAUAAUUUACUAUUUCUUCGAACUUGACAGAUCUCUACUGGUGAAGUUGAUCAGCCAGCUCAAGACAUGGUGAAAUAGUAUUAGCAUUGGUUCAUCGUUGGUGCUCUUUAAGUAUUAUUGAAGUAAAAGGAACUGCAAACUUGACUGAUUCACGUGAUGAUGAGAAAUAGUUAAUAUCUUUUAAUCACACCUACAGCUAGUAUGCUAGUUAGACAUCUUAGUCAGUUUCUUAUUCUGUUUCGGCUUGUUAGUUGUGAAGAAUAAUUUAUUUUGUUUCUCCUGCCCAAUCCCUGAGUUGGUUACAUACCAAUGAUAGCAUGUACGGCAGGGCCUAAUUUUUCACGCAACCUUGUUGAGUAGAUGGCUCUUGUUGUUCUGAAGACUGACAUGUAUGGAGUGGGUGAUUGGAGUGUACACUUUUGGCUCAGUAUGACUAGACUAUAUAUUUUGACCAUACUGCCUUUUAAUAUUGGUAUCUUCGAUUGCUACUAAUUUAGAAGGUUAUGCAGUAUAGUUUGAACUCAUUUGGUGGAUUUUUUUAAAAAACUUUUGUUUCAGUACAACAGAGAAAAAGGUAUGGUCUAUGUAAAUAUUGCGACCUCCCUACUGCAGCCGAUUUAAGACCCUUGGAUGGAAAUUUUGAGCUCUAGGAUGUGCUUGUUGUACUGAAGCAUUUCUCAUUUUGUUUUCUUUUCUAAUGGUGUCCUGUUUUCCUGGUUAAGUCUUGUUAUCAUGGAUGCUGUCUUUGAUAAUGAAAUGCCCUGAAAUUUUGUUACUGAAAAUUAAAUAAGAGAAGGCAGACUGCUGCUGAUGCACCAGUGCGUUGUAAAAAUAUUUCAGGCUAUGCUUACUGGGGAGCCAAGCAUUGUAGAAGCUGCUGCUGCUUUGCUCAAGUCCAUUGUUACCAGAAACCCUAAGGCAAUGAUUCGGCUAUACAGCACGGGUGCCUUCUACUUUGCCCUAGCCUACGCUGGCUCUAACCUGCUUACCAUUGCACAACUUUUUGCGGUAACUCAUGUUCAUCAAGCAUUUCAUGGUGGUGAAGAGGCUGCAGUCUCCUCGUCGUUGCCCCUGGCAAAGCGCAGCGUAUUAGGUGGACUCCUUCCUGAAUCGUUGUUGUAUGUGCUGGAGCGCAGUGGGCCUGCAGCUUUUGCUGCAGCGAUGGUAUCUGAUUCUGAUACACCAGAAAUCAUUUGGACACAUAAGAUGCGAGCAGAACAUUUGAUUCGUCAGGUAUUUCUACCCAAGGUCUUUAAUAUCUGUUUGGCCUGGCUUCUGGAACAGCUGCCAACUAUUUUGGCAGACGUAAGUCUAGAGUUUUUGCUAUGGUAGGAAGAUGAAUUGAGACCCAAAAGCAGAAGCUCAAUUUAAAGCUUCUACUUCUGCUGCAGUGGGAAGAUUUUGAGGGGAUUUUAAUGAACAGGCUGUUAGAGCUUUUUCAACCUGCUCAUCUCGACCAAUCAUUUCUAAACAAGUCCCAGCCAAGCCCAACGGGCUCUAGAAUAGAGUAUUGUGCUUCAAGUAUUUGUAUAGCAAUUCUUCUUAUCUAUUUUGACCAUGGCACUAAAGUUGUCUGAUUGUCGAAUUCCUUUUGUGGCUUUCAAUCUUUGUCAGGUUCUUCAGCACCUCGGCGAUUUCCCUCAGAAAUUAUCACAGCACUGCCAUUCAUUGUAUGAUUAUGCUCCUAUGCCUCCAGUUACUUAUCCAAAUUUGAAGGAUGAAAUGUGGUGUCAUCGUUAUUACCUUCGAAACUUAUGUGACGAGAUAAGGUUUCCAAACUGGCCCAUUGUCGAACAUGUAGAAUUUCUGCAGUCCUUGCUGGCAAUGUGGCGUGAAGAAUUAACUCGACGGCCGAUGGAUCUUUCUGAAGAAGAAGCUUGCAAGAUAUUGGAGAUCUCUCUAGAUGAUAUCGUAAUUAGCGAGAAUGGUGGUGGGACACAAAUGUCAGAGAUCAAUGGGACAAAUUCUAACACGUCUAAGCGCAUUGAAAACAUUGAUGAAGAAAAGCUUAAACGUCAGUAUCGAAAACUGGCAAUUAGGUACCAUCCUGACAAGAAUCCUGAAGGGAGGGAGAAGUUUGUAGCUGUACAGAAGGCUUAUGAGAGGUUGCAGGUACCUUUCGUUUUGUGCCAUCUCUAAUUCCUUUUUUUGCUCAUUUUUGUCACUUUUUGAGUAUUGCCAUUUUCUACUGUGUGUAGAUGAUCAUAUAGUUACAAAUUACUACAUAGUAAGUUUGCCCUCAAUAUGGUAUUUUGGAUAAUAUUUUUUCAAUUGCUAUUAUCAUUUCGAGUUUACACAGUAGAACUGUUUGACAGUCAUGUCAACUAGAACAUGUUAGCUAAGCUGAUAAGUGCUUCUAGUGUUUAUUGGUUUUCGAAUUACCUUAGCGCAGAAUGAAAUAUAAGAAGGCGAAUGCUAGACCUUGAAUAAUAUAUAAACAAAUACCAGAGUGUUUUGGGAACAACAUUUUCAGAAAUUAUUGUUCUUAAGAGGGAGAUGUUGAAAUGCUAAUUGUAUUAAAUAUAAGAGAAAACAAGAACUAAGUUUUUUUGUAGUAAAUAAUGUUGCCUUUGAAAGGGGAAGAUUUCAUAGUUUGAAUAUAUUCUUUUUCUUAGAGUUUUGCAAGUUUUAAGACAUUUAGGAGUUAUUCGACAGACAUCUGUAUAGUCAAUACUAUAUUUUUAGGACUCGAAGCUUUUGUGAUUGUUCCCGUAGCAGAUGCUAUUGUAACAUUGUAAUUUUUUUUAGAAUCCCUGCUAUAUCUGUAUUAUAUAGCCACAGCUAACAAAAUCUUCACAUCAUAUGUACCAUUGGGAGUUUAUAGUUCUUAGUAAAUGGAGUCUACAUACUUGUAUACUGAAGUCAUUGCUUAUACCAGUGAAUAUUGGUAAAUAAUUGAUGUAACUGCUAUAUACCCAUGUAUUAUGAAGUGUUUAUUCUCUGCGUAUGCAGGCAACCAUGCAAGGAUUGCAAGGGCCACAAGUUUGGAGAUUGCUGCUCCUAUUGAAAGGGCAAUGUAUCUUGUACAGGAGAUAUGGGGAUGUCUUGGAGCCUUUCAAAUAUGCUGGCUAUCCAAUGUUGCUUAAUGCUGUCACUGUGGAUAAGGAUGAUAACAAUUUCCUUUCAUCUGAUAGGGUCCCUCUUCUAAUUGCGGCAUCAGAGCUAAUAUGGCUGACGUAAUCUAAUUUUACUCCCUUUUUUUUUGCCUUUUGCUAUAUUUGAUUUAUCUUUGACAAAUUUAUAAACUAAACCAGCCUUUACAUGUAUUGCCCAUGCCAUCUUUCCCCUCAGAUGCGCAUCCUCUUCAUUGAAUGGUGAAGAACUGAUCCGAGAUGGCGGGAUACCUCUAUUGGCUACUCUUCUUUCUCGCUGCAUGUGUGUGGUUCAGCCUACAACUCCUGCAAAUGAACCUGCUGCGAUUAUUGUUACGAAUGUUAUGCGCACAUUCGCAGUUUUAAGUCAGUUUGAAACGGCAAGAGCUGAGAUGCUAAAUUUUGGGGGACUUAUUGAGGACAUUGUGCAUUCUACAGAGCUAGAGCUUGUUCCAUCUGCAGUUGAUGCUGCCCUUCAGACAGCGGCCCAUGUUUCUGUAUCAUCUGAAUCGCAAGAUGCCCUAUUAUCAGCUGGCUUUUUGUGGUAAUUUUGAUAGCUUUUGUAAUAGAUGGGUAGAGCAGGAUAAAAUUUGCAAAUUUGAACGUUAAAGUUAGAUUCUAUUGGACCUAAUUAGAUAUAAAAAUGGUCUCUUUGCAGGUAUACGUUGCCUCUUCUGCUUCAAUAUGAUUCAACAGCAGAUGAGAAUGAUGCAAAUGAAGCACAUGGUGUUGGUGCAAGUGUGCAGAUAGCUAAAAACCUGCAUGCUGUGCGUGCAACUCAGGCUCUGUCAAGGCUGUGUGGUACCUCCAAGGAUGGAAUUUCAACCCCUUGCAAUGAAACAGCUGCUAUUGCACUCAGAUCUUUGCUUACACCUAAGCUUGUUGAUUUGCUGAAAAACCAGCCGCCGAAAGAUCUAUUGUCCAAUCUAAAUGCAAACUUGGAGUCGCCAGAGGUAUUUUUAUGGUUCAUCUAUUUUGUAGCAAUGCUUUCUUUGGGUGUUUAAUAUAUUCCUUCUUAUCUUGCGACAGUAUAUUAUAAGGCCUGACUUGAGUGCUGCUUUUUUUUUGUGAAUGCAGAUCAUAUGGAACUCUUCCACCAGAGCAGAACUACUCAAAUUUGUGGAUCAGCAGCGCGCCAGUCAAAACCCUGAUGGCUCUUAUGAUUUAGCAGAGUCACAUUCCUUUGCUUACGAAGCAUUAUCUAGAGAGUUGCAUGUGGGUAAUGUGUACUUAAGGGUUUACAACAAUCAACCAGACCACGAGAUAAGUGCGCCGGAAGCUUUUUGUGUGGCUCUCCUUAAAUUUAUAUCAGAGCUGGUGCAUAAAUGGACUGCAUCAAAUUUUGAUUUGCAAAGUAUGGUCGAUGAAAAUGGUACGUCUAUAAAUACGUCAGAAAUUCAAGAUGACACAGUUAGUAGACAAAGUGAUGAAAUUAAAGGAGACGAUUCAUCCAAUGUCUCCAAUAAAGAAGAAAUGAUCAAUGAAGAUGCUGAACUGAUCAAGAACCUUCGAAUUGGAUUGACAUCACUGCAGGUAUGUUAGUGGCUUUCACAGUUUUAUUGAUCCUUAUGAAUUCUUAAACAUUAAUUCUUUUCUGACCAUUUGCUACAGAAUUUACUAAGAAGCAACCCCACUGUGGCGGCUGUUUUUUCUACCAAAGAGCAGCUCGUGCCUAUUUUUGAGUGCCUUGCCCUGCCUGUACCAGCUGAAAGCAACAUCUCACAACUCUGUCUUAAUGCUCUUUCCCUUUUGACAACAUAUGCCCCUUGUCUAGAGGCUAUGGUUGCGGAAAGGUCCAGCCUCAUCUUAUUGUUUCAGAUACUCCACUCUAAUCCGGCUUGCAGGGAAGGGGCCCUUGCUGUCCUCUAUUCCUUGGCAAGCACCCCAGAGCUGGCAUGGGCUGCUGCCAAGCAUGGUGGAGUCGUUUACAUUCUUGAGCUCAUUUUACCACUCCAAGGUAUCCCAUGUUUCUUUGUAGAAGUUCUAUUAUCUACUAUAAUUGUUGCUUAUGUAUUCUCCUGUUUAUGUUUGCAUAUUUCUUCCAUAUAGUCUGAAUAUUUCCAUAUUGUGGAAGGCCACUGAAUAAAUAACCUUGGUAAAGAUGCACUUACAAAUCACACUUGAACUAUUGCACAUAUUGAAAUGAGCUCCCUAAAUUUGUGAUUUUAUAUUAUAACCUAAUAUUUCUUUACACUUGAUUUUGGAAAUUCUGUCAAGUUCUGUUAGAACUAAACAAUUUCCAUCCAUUUAAAGUUGAAGUUUCCUUUUCAAAGUAUGUUGUAGUUCAGAUAAGAUCUCUUCAUAUUUACCACAAACCUUCAUUAUGUUGUUGUAUCACUUUUACCUUUUACUAUAGACUAUCUAUUGCAGUAGGACAUAGUACUGAUUGAAGUUCUACUUUGCAGAAGAAAUCCCUCUUCAGCAAAGAGCUGCUGCUGCCUCCUUGUUGGGCAAGCUUGUUGGACAGCCAAUGCAUGGCCCUAGAGUGGCAAUUACACUUGCAAGAUUUCUGCCAGAUGGCUUGGUAUCUGCUAUUAGGGACGGACCCGGUGAAGCAGUAGUUUCAGCUCUUGAACAAACAACUGAAACACCAGAACUUGUGUGGACCCCGGCAAUGGCCGCAUCUCUCUCUGCACAGUUGUCAACCAUGGCCGCCGACCUUUAUCGGGAGCAGAUGAAAGGGCGGGUUGUCGACUGGGAUAUACCUGAACAGGCAUCUGGCCAGCAUGUUAUGAAAGACGAGCCACAGGUAGAUUUUACUCUGUUAUUAUCUAAUAUUACGCAACCCCUCAAAAUACAAAAAUUUGUGCGUACCUCUCUAAAUCACAAUUGCACCUACCUUAUAUACCCCUUCCUGCAUAUGAUGUCAACUGAUGUUUACUUGACUACAUCUAACCUUGGAUGCAUUAAUUAAGGCUUUUGAAUGACAAAAUUGUCUUCCUUUUGCAUUAAUACCACACGAAUGAAUGGAAAUCAAUCAGUAGGUGCCAAGACUUUUGCCAACAUUAACAUUUCAUGAGUUUCUGCUAUAUUUCAACUCUGCAACGGGAAGUUGAGCAGAUAGGCUAGACAAACGUAAUUUGUUUUUAGUGUGGAGGCAUAAGUUUUCACAUUAGAGACCGGGAUAACAUUCAAAUGCACGUAUUUUGAAGGGUAAAUAUGCAAAAAAGCUUUUUAUAUGUUAUGUCAAAAUCCAGUCUAUCUUCCGCAUAAAUAUCUAAAUACUGCCAAACUUGCAGGUUGGUGGGAUUUAUGUGAGGCUGUUCUUAAAGGACCCUAAGUUCCCAUUAAGAAACCCUAAAAGAUUCUUGGAAGGACUGUUGGAUCAAUAUGUCACCUCAAUUGCUGCCACACAUUAUGAAAUACAAGCCGUUGAUCCUGAACUUCCUUUGCUUCUGUCUGCUGCACUUGUUUCUCUGUUGCGGGUGCACCCUGCCCUCGCAGACCAUGUCGGUUAUCUAGGUUAUGUGCCAAAAUUAGUUGCCGCCAUGGCUUAUGAAGGGAGGCGUGAAACAAUGGCGUCUGGAGAGGUCAAAGGCGGAAGUCAUGUCCAUUCAGAUCAAGCUGAAGAUGAUAAUGAUGGUUCGGCCUGCUCUGCUGGACAGACCCCGCAAGAACGUGUGCGCCUUAGUUGUUUACGAGUGCUACAUCAGCUAGCUUCUAGUACUACUUGUGCUGAAGCUAUGGCUGCCACAAGUGCAGGAACACCUCAGGUAUUGUAUUAGAAAUGCACAUAGUUUUUCUGUAGGAAAGACAUUUUGGAUGCUUUGUAGUUUAUAUAUAUGAUUUGCCAGCUGUUUAUUGCUGAAUAAGUUAGGUGCCUAUCUACUUGGAAAAUUCAGAUAAGCAGCUUAUACUGCUAUACCUUUUUUCUGUCGUCUAAUUUAGGUUAUCUCUUCCAAUUUUAUUCCAGGUUGUGCCAUUGCUUAUGAAAGCGAUUGGAUGGCAAGGAGGAAGCAUUCUAGCUUUGGAGACACUAAAGCGUGUUGUUGUUGCUGGUAACCGGGCUAGAGAUGCACUUGUUGCACAAGGAUUAAAGUAAGAGGCACUUAGUUUGUACAUUGAGAAUAAAAAAAAUCAUGCAAAUGAGUAUUACUAGUUUCUUAAGAGAGUGUUGUCUUACUUGCAUUCUGUCUCUUAAUAUCUUUCCCUAAUAUCAAAAGAUGACAAAGCUUUGUGUUUCAUUUCUGGUAUUAAACAAAAUAGGGUUGGUCUUGUUGAAGUGCUGCUUGGCAUUCUUGAUUGGAGAGCUGGAGGAAGACAUGGGAUCUGCACACAAAUGAAAUGGAAUGAGUCUGAGGCUUCAAUUGGACGUGUACUUGCUGUAGAGGUAGGCUUUUCUUUUCUGGAAAAAUCGCUAGAAUCAUGUUUUUUCUGAAUAAUUAUAGAAGUACAUUAAAUGCUUGAAUAAUGAAGGUAGUGAACUCCCAAAAGCAUCUUUCCAUGGGAACAAUAAUUAGGUUUUCUUUACAGUACCAUACAUUAGUAUAGGCUUGAUAGAUAAAGGUCGUGUUAGUUUUAUCUGUUAAUAUACAAUUAGCUAAAGUUUGUAGAGAAUAAAAAUAUGAUGACCCAAAAAUUCCAUUUUAAGGCUGUUGCAGUUUUUUCAUUUGUUGGGGAUACAUGUUCUUAUUCCACCUAGCAAGCCAUUCUGGUACACAGGCAUGUUAGAUGAUUCUCAACUUUUCAGCGGUCGAGCCAAGCCACUGUUUCCCACUGGGAGUAUGAAAUCCCGUAUGCUUGAGAGGGGAAAAAAUUUUAGCAGCUUCCCAGUGGGAGUAUGAAAUCCCGUAUGCUUGAGAGGGGGAAAAAUCUUAUCAGCUAGGUGUAGGUUAUUGGACAUGGAAAGCUGCAAACCAAGCCAAUAAUAGAGUAAAUUCCUCCAUAAUAGGCAGUUAAUGAGAUUAUUCUAAAUUGCAUCAGUUAAAACUCUUUCGUUUUUCAUGUUGAAAGAGUCUUCCGGGAAGCAUUUACCUGCAAUGAUUUGGUGAAAUCAUAAUUUCAAGCUUCUGUUUGCUUCUUUCACCCAGGUAUUGCAUGCCUUUGCAACUGACGGUGCCCAUUGUGCUAAAGUUCGUGAGAUAUUGAAUGCUUCUAAUGUAAGUUUCAAAUUUUCAAUCUUCUUGCUCAUUCAUGAAAGUGUAAAGUGUAUGUAUAGUCCAUGCACUUUCCUGAUGUGGCGAUAUGCUUCCUGAAAUUUUUUACUUAAAACACCUUAGACCUUAAACUGUCAAAUGACGGUCAAGAUGGAAUUGCAAUAGACGUGAAAGUUAGGGAAGUAAAAUGUUUAUAGUAAGAAAUAAGUUGCAAUAUCGGGAUUGUACUGAGAUUAUUCAUACGCUUUACAUUUCAAUGAAAUCUGGCAUUUGUUUUGGUCAGCACGUGCAAUCUUCGUACAAUUAAAUCGGCGGUUAAUCUUUGACAGGUGUGGAGUGCUUACAAAGAUCAGAAGCACGAUCUCUUCCUUCCUUCCAAUGCACAAUCGUCAGCAGCUGGUGUUGCUGGGCUCAUAGAGAGCUCGUCGUCGAGGCUCCCAUAUGCUCUCACUGCUCCACCCCCGCAGCCCCAGUUGGUUAGGCUGCCUUCUUCUGCAGCUCCUGCUUCAGCAACUGUAAGCUCAAAUGGAAGGCCUAACAAUAAGCAACUAUAGCAAGAUUUUUUUUCUUCUUUUUUCGGCACAUUGGUCCGAAUAUGUGAAUACAAUGCGGCGCCCUCUACAGCUGAUCAAAUAGUAUAUAUAUUAUAAUGUACAGUUUUGCUCUCGAUUUCAUAGAGGUUGAGUUUGGGUUCGUUUAUUUAUUAAUCGGGUAUAGCCCGGACUUUUUUAAGUGUGGGCGGGUGCUUGUAUCAUAUCCUGUCAAUAGCUUUUCCAAAUAAGUUCUCCUGUGUUGGGUUGCAAAUUUAUGGGUAUUGGCGAGUCUGUAUCUACUCAUUUUGCUUUUUUUUUUUUUUUUGAUCCAUUUUGUUUCCGAAACAUUAAUAUCAUGCACCUCUUUAUUGCAAAGGGAAAAUCAGGCCUAAGGAAUGAUGGAAUAUUUGUGAGACCUGUUACCGUGAUUACAUGUUUGGUGCUGUUUUUUUUUCCUCGAUCUUUUAUGUUGCCUUUUUAAAAUUGUGCUAUUUAAAAAUGCCAAGGACUUAACUCAGACCAACAAAAAGUCACUUGUCCUAUAACCGUGUCAUUGCUGGAUACUGGGUGGUGGAAACUCAAAGCUGAUUCACCACCCUUAGAUUGGCCAACCAUCACAUGGGGAAGAAGUUGAUAAAAUACUUCUUUCUCAAGUUGUAAACAUAUGCUGUUGGCGAUUAUAGCUGAAAAAGAAAUGCUCUCAACUCUCAAACUGGAAAGGCUCAUAGAUUUACCCAACAACUAAAAGCAGCAGCUUUAUUCAUCAACAGAAUCACAAAAGAAAUGGAAAUCAUCAAAUUUAACCCUAAUAAGAAAUAACAGAAACUAAACAACAAAGCGGAAGAACAAAACCGAGAACAAUUUGGUGUCAAGGAGAGACAACCAUGAUGAUAACAAUUGAAAAUGAGCAGCAACACAACAGUCUCUCAACUGUCUUUUUGUCAAGAUUCAUCAUCUUCCUCGUGGAAGCGCAGAUGCUUCCCUUCUGGCGCCGGCAAUCCCUUCAGAAAUAAAACCCCGGGCGAGACCGCCGCCGCCAUCUCCUCAGCCUUCACAGCUUCCUCCUCUCCUUCAAUCUCAUCAUCGCUGUUGUACACGAACCGCGUGUGCUUCCCUUUGAACUCCGGCAAUCCCACCGCCUCGUCCGCCACUGACAUCUUCCUCAUACCCUCGCAAAGAUCGGCACAAGGAUCUUCACCUUCUCCAUCUUCAUUUUCAUCAAAAUAGGCCUCAUCCUCUUCUUCUCCGUACCCUUCAAAUAGCUCAUCCGCUUCGCCCUCAUAAUCCUCUUCAUGGGCGCUCGCAUUCGCCUGAAUUGACCACAGAGAAGAGCUGUCGUCAUCCGUCGACAACUUCUCUGCGCAGCCGCCGCUGCUUUCACUUCCUUGGAAAGUUAGCGACGAAGAGAUUGCCGAGCCCUCGGAGGCUCCAGAUUUGCUCGGCGAGUCGAACAGCAACGCGCGGUUGAGGACGCAUUCUUGAGGCUCCUCUUGAUUCCGAGACGAAACAACCUGAUAAAACGAAAGAAACCCAAAUCAAUGUUACGCAUAUCAAAAUCGGAACUUUUCUUAGAAAAUAGAGACAAAAGGACCAAAUCUUUUCAGUAAGAAAUCUUACAAACCUGCUGAGAGAUUGUUACCGUUGGACCUUCUUCCUUGAAGGUCGAAACGCUCGCAAUCUGCGGGGUAUUGGCGGGAGUCGGAGCGAGGAGCUGGGCCGGGGACCUCGAGAUUCCCGCGAGGGUGGGGAAGCGUGGGAUUUGAAGGAUGGAAGAGGGCUUAUACGCAAAAUCACCUUCCUCCUCCACCUUCUGUAACAAUGUCUUCACCUGGCCCCUGAGAAUGGCCUCGCCCGAACCGGGGGUCCGCCUCACCCGAACCCGGCUCUUGAGAGAAGACGAAGAAGACGAGGGGGUCUUCUCCACCGCCGCGAGACCGACGAUGGGGGAAUCGUUCGUGAUGUCGAGGAGCGGGGCCCUGUCGGCAUUGGCGCCGCCGCCGUUCUUUCUCGGUCUCGAGUGGAGAUCUUCUUGUUGCUUGCUCUUUUCUGGAUUGAGAAAACACCCGGGUUAGCGAAUUGGGAAGAGGGUCGGCGGGAUCAAACAUCAACUUUGUUAUCGUGAAAAGGAGAGGUGGGGUUUCUGCUUACGGGAGGAGGCGGCGGUGGAGGCGGAGGUUUGCGAUCUCGUAACUCUUCUCGUGGAUGAUGGGGUCUCCAUUACGGUUUAAGCAAGAGAAAAGGAACCUAAAGAAACAAAACCCCAAUACAAGGAACGAAUGAGCUAGAGAGAGAGAGAGAGAGAGAGAGAGAGAGAGAGAGAGAGAGAGAGAGGUUCCUCACCGGAAAAAACUGAGAGGUUUUUGGCCUAGAACUAGUUCUUCUGAGUUGCAAAGGGAUGGCGAGAAAGAGAGGGAGAGAAGAGAAGGGGAAAGAAUGGAUGGGGAAGGGGGGUGGAAGGGUGGGGGGGUGAUUUAAAGAUUUGAAUUGGGGGAACUCCAACGGUAAUAUGACCGUUGCGGUGUAGGAUGAAGCAGGAUCCCUAAUCCGUGAUUACCAGAAGAGGAUGUCAUUUACUUCUUAUCUUUUCUUUUCUUUUUUUUAAUUCCCGUCCCCGAAACUAGCCGUUGAGUGGGUAGAGUAUCGAGGCAGUGAAGAACCAUGUCUUCAAAGGGUACCCGAUAAUGUCCCCUGUUCAUAUAAAUAUACCCUAUAACUAGUUAUGGGGGUUAAGGGGAGUCUCCACGGGUACGCCUAGCAAUGUUCUUAUAGCAAACUAAGCUGGGCCGUGUGGGCCGGGGAUGAAGAGUUGGGCUGCAGCAAAGGGCCCAACCUUGUUAACAACUUCUUAAGCUCAUUAAUGGGCUUUAUAAGACAACUAAAGGAGGUUGGUUUUAUGCGGGUGAGGACAAGAUGCACCACGUAAGGUGAGAAAAUGUAGUAGCAAGUAAAUAAUUUUUUCACUUGCGUACAUGAUAACAUAUUAUGCAAAUUGCACUCAGUUGCUUAAAAAUAUAAUUUUUUUUAAAUCCCACGGAAAUGAGAUAAGCAUAUCUCUACAUCUCUCCACCCAAACUACAACUUCACCCGAUCGUUUAUUACUUAGUGGACUCUUGGAAGAAUAGGAGUUAGAAUACUAAAGCCAUAGGCUUGAUCCCAAUUUGUUAGGAAUCUUGCUAAGCUUGAGAAGUGAUAUAUAUAUAUAUAUAUAUAUAUAUAUAUAUAUAUAUAUAUAUAUAAUGUCUCGACCUAACCAACCCAAGAAACUUUAUGCAAGUGUGAGUUUAGUAUCUUACACUUUUAUAAAAGGAAGAAUUAGAAGAGUCAAGGAUGCGGACGAUUCAUGUUUAAUGAUAAAAUAAAAAAACUUACACUAUUUUCUGUUCUGACGCAGAGACUCGUAAGAUAAAAAAGUAUCUUUUUUAACUAAUAUUUUGUAGACACAUAGGUUAAGUUGGAUGCCUAGAAUUGACUAUUAGAAACAUGCAGGUGCAGUAGGAAAAUGGUGCACCUAUCAAAAGUAUUUGGUUAGGAAGAUGUAUGAGAUAUGAUUCAAACUAAGCUUUAUCUUAGCAUCAUAAUUGAGAAAUUAAUAGAGGUAGGAGAUAAUUAAACAGUCUACGUGAUUCAUUAUCUUUAAGGAUGCAUGGUGGUUGUCUAACAAACAACUAAAAUUGCGAAAGAAAGUAAAUUGAUUUGCAGUGAAUCAUUUAAGCUAUGUCAACAUCAGUAUACCUAAAAAUAAAUUGUGGAUGGUACAUGACAGCUAAUAAAGGAGUGAGUCUUUUAGUGGUAACUAAAGAAUUAAAUACACGAACAUUUCUUCAUGCAAACUACCCUAAAGUAUAACGGAUGCUUUUUUGUGGUUAUAUUAUAGACAUGAAAGAUGACUCAAUAGUCACUAAACAAUAGUACAUUUGCUUCAGAGCAGACUUUUUUUUUUUUAAUCCCAUCUGUAAGACUAUAACUAUGCUCUUUGAAGAAUGAGAAAUGCUACAUCUAAAACCCAAUGAAGGGUUUUAGGAUAACUACUCUUAAAUCAAAAAUUAUAAUCCUAUUUUUUUAUGGUUUAAAAAAGUUACUAUUUGGAUUGCAGUAAUAAAGAAGGAAAAGUAAUAAGACUGGUGGUGAAAUAUAAGUUUUUAAAUAAUAAAAUUGUAAGAUGAUAAGCGAAAAAUGAUUGCCGGGCUGUCAUUGCCCAGACGAAUUUCUUAUUUUCUUUUAUAACUAAUUCUGAUUAGAUAGUAAAACUUGAGCUGGCUUUUCCAUCUCUUCAUGGUUAUUCCUCAAAAAAUUCACUCUCUUUGUCUGACAUAUUUUUUCAUAGUAUCUUGCAACUUACACAGAGAAAAGGAUAUGAUCCUCUAGCCACCCAUUCUUUUACUUUUUUGGUGGGUGGGGUUUAAACUUUGUCCAUCUUUGCAUCGUAAACUACUUUUAUAAUUAGAGAGAGAGAGAGAGAGAAAAAAAAAAAGAAAGAAAAAGAAGUGAUUCUUUAGCCACCCUUAUCCUUUCUUCUACUUUUUUUUUGAGGGGUGGGAUUUAAAACGUGGACACCUUUGCAUCAUAAAUUAACCAUUUGUUUUUUUUUUUGAGAGAGAUAGAUAACACGCUAUCUGUUUUAUUUAUUUUAUGUAGAAAUAAAUUUAGCUUGAAAUGUGAAUCAACUAGGAUUCGAACUUAGGUCUCAGGUACCAAUCACCAACCCUUUGCCGCUUGCUUUAGGAAUAGUCGGUAAAUUAACCAUUUUUUGAUAGAAGAUAGAAGUCCUUUUACCGAAAAAAAAAAAAAAAAAAAAAAAAAGCCAUUAAUUUAUUGGUUCCUUGUAAUCAAUGCUAUUCCUCCCUUCACUUCAAAAAUACUAGCAUAUCUGUAUUCCUGCGCCCACUACUCGAUCAAUCUUUAAGAAAGAAACACCACACCAAAUUUUAAAAAAAGGUGCUUAAUUAUUAGGUGCAUGAAUUAAAAACUAAGCCCAUUCUUUAUUUAUAUAAACAAAUCCACCUGACGAGAGAAGAGCCCAAACACCUGUGAACCCAACCACCCCCCACUUUUACAUACAUCAAAUCCUCCACCAAACGCCCACCCACUGAAAAGAAUCAAUUGAAUUUACCAAACCGUAAAAGACAAAAUAAAAAAAAAAAAAAGAAGAAAAGAAAACAAACACACAAGAAGCGCCCACCAAUCCAAUCCCUAUGCUUUCUAUUUUUAAGUAUCCAAUAGAUAUACAAAGAUUUUUGAGUACGAGAGGCAGAUAUUGGACCAAAACCAAUUACAGCCACAGUACCGUUGUGCUUGCCCAGUAAUAUACCCGGAAACUGGUUAGGCUUCCACUGGGCCCCGGGACGAGCUCCGGCUCGACCGGCGUUUCGACCGGCGGCGCGGGGUCACGUACUUGGACUCCCCCCAAUCCCAAAACCUCUCCUUCUCCGACGGCGAGUUAUCGCACUCGGGGAAAGUGGACGAAUACCGAACCGUGUCGUAGCAGAUGGUGUAGGUCAUAUAGUGCUCCCUGAACCGGCGCAUGGCGGCGCGUUUUUUGGGGUCCAUUGCGGCGUAGUCGGCCGUUAGGAUCUCCACCUCGGACUCCGCGCAGUCCUCGGCCGACGGCGGUUGUUGAAUGUCGCCGACGCGGCACCCGCGAAGGAUGAGGUCGGAGAAUUCGGCCGUGAAGGGGGAGUACUUGUAGUUGAUCUUGUGCUUGCCGCCCUCGGUAGCCCACGCCGAUCCGUCCCAGAUGGUGGCGUACACCGACAUCGGCUUCGACGGGUAGUCGUCGCCCAUUGCCUCCGUUCGGACCACUUCUCUUAUCGGAAUGUCAUCGAUGUAGAAUCUGCAAAAGCGACGGGAAUUGAGGACACAAUUUUGGUUACGUAAGAUCCUUUUUUUCUUUUUUCUUUUUUUUUGUUUUUUUGUUCUCAGGAUGCAUUUGAACAGCAAAGAUAUGGUAACAGUUAAGCUAUAAAUGGGCGCUCCAAAUUAAAGGAUCCAGCUAGUGUACGUUCUUUCACCAUCAGCAAUGAACAUAAAAGAUUAGAAGUUGUUACAACACCAUAAUUAUUACUCUGCGCGCAUGAACAUGAAGCUACGGGAGAGAUGAUGAUUUACGUACUCUAUUAAAUUAUCGAUUUAAAAGUUAAUUAGAACGGAUUGUCGUACCAUAUUAGAGUAAAAAGAAAAAAGGAAAUGGUACUGAUCAUCUAUCAAUCUUAAUCCGUACAUGAUGUAAUUCGCGGUCCACAGGAUGGAGUAGCGAUGAGCCUCCUCCGUGGGAUCGAACGGGAGGAGGUACCGCUCCUCGCGGCCGCGGCUGGUGCUCCCAUUGCCAUACACAUUGGUUUGCACUCUCCACUCCUUCCCUCUCAGGUUGCCCAAAAACUCGAAAUCUAACUCGUCGUGCGUCUUCUCGAAAACAUCGCCAUUCGAUAGCUGCAUCAUAUCAUAUAUAAUUAAUCAAACCAGGAUCAACUAAAUAUCAUCAGAAAACCAAUCAUGUGCUCAAUAAUUAUACUCAUUGACCUAGAAUAAUUAAAUUACAAGCUUCAUACGAACAAAGGCAUGUGCAUUUUGGAGCUGCCCACUAUAGUAAGUAAAGUAGGGACGUCCUAAACAAACAUGCUUCAUGGGGAAACAAGGAUAUUAUUUAUUUAUUUAUUUAUUUAUCGCUUCGCAUACUAUAUAUAUGCUUUGGUUAUGUAAGUACUGUGUUAAUAAAAGUCCACAGUAUGUAAGCAUACUAAAUUUAAAUAUUUAUUGGACACUAAUUUAUUGAUGUGCAGUUUCUACCUCAAAUAAUAUUUUAAUGCUAUUAAAUGAAAGGAAGAAGUAUUGGAUACGCCUUCAAUUGCGUGCCUUCGGAAAAUUAUAAAGUUGGAUGAAUCUAAUGAUGAAACAUAUAUUUAUAUGGCGUAUCCACCACCAAAUAACCAAAUAAUUAAAUUGCAAUUAAAAUUGGCAACAAAUUAAAAAUCAUACGCGGAGCCUUUUUAUUUGCUUAAUGUAUUAGGAAUUUUUAAUCUAACUUGUUAGCGUAUAAUUAAAAAUAUUCAAAUAUAUAUAUAUACACAUAUAUAGAGCAUAUCCACUACCAAAUAAUCAAAUAAUUAAAUUGUAAUAAAAUUGGCAACAAAUUAAAAAUCACACGCGCAGUCUUUUUCCUUGCUUAACGUAUUAAGAAUUUUUAAUCUAAUUUAUUAGCAUAUAAUUGAAAAAAUUCAAUAAUUUGACCGGGUAGACGUGUCGAGAAAGAAAAGGUUAGACUAAUCUUUAGUUAUUAAAAUUGAGCAUGAUAAUAUCUAUUAAUUACUUUAAUUAAACUCCUUUCAUCAGGAAAUCUAUUAUUUUAGAACAAAAUUGUCUACUAAAAAAAUAGAAUUACUUAAUUUGAAACAAUAAAUAAAUAUUAGAACAAAUUCAACUACAAAACGUUCAAAAUUGUGGACUGAAGUUAAAAAUUAUGUAAAGAGUUAGAACGAAGGAGAGAUUAAUUGGGAAUAAUAAUAAUCAAAACGCGCAUGGUAAUCGAAGAAGAGCAACGGAUUCAUGUUAAAUGACCAAAUUGCCCCUACUAUUCCAUCUAAUUUACGAGGCACCCUCGUACUAAGUUUCUCUGCAUCAGGGUUAGAGGAGGAAAACGCAACGCAGUGAUUCGAUAGAGCAAGAGCGUGUGCGAUCACUCACGUAGAAGGCGACGACGACCCCGGCGGUGUGAUCGGAGGGGAGCUUGAUCGAGGCGCUGAAGAAGCCGUGUUGGUAGUAAUCGGAGGAGAUGAAUCCCGACCCUAAUUUCAUUUUAAUCCCACCAAAAAUUUUCAAAAAAAACGGAAUCAAGUCAAUACGAAUUCGAUCGAACCGAAGAAGACGAAGAGGAGAUUAGGGUUUGAGCAUCAAUCACCGGAGUAGCGAUUGAGCUUGAGGCGAACGCUCCUCCCAUCAGGGUAUCGGAUUAGGUUCCCGUCGCCGAACAGCUGGGAGAAUCCCUCGUCGAAGGAGAUCGUCGACCCCUCCAACGCGACCACCGCCACCGCCGCGGAGGCGAUGAUCGCCGCGAAUAAGAGGCGAUUCGCCAUGGACGUGACCUCGAUCGAGCUCUGGUAAUUCGCUACUCUCUCUCUUCUUCUUCUUCUUCUUCCUCUUCCUGAUGAUGCUGCUGCUCUGUUUCUCUCACUAGGCUUUCGUUUGUUUGUUUCUCGCUCUACUCGCCUUUGCUUAUAAAGGAGUGGGAGCGGGGAUGGGAGGGAAAAGAUAAAAUGGGAAGGAAUUUUGGGUCGCUUAAUUAAUUAAUUAAUUAAUUAAUUUUAAUAUUAUAUUAUAUAUAUUUUUAUUAUUUAUCAUAGAGAAAUGCAAGGUGAGGUGGGUAUAGGAGACGGGAUCAUGGGAACGGGUAAUCUAACGGCUGAUAUUGUUUUUGAUCGUUCGGUGAAAGGGUGUCCUCUUGUUUUGGCCUUUUGGAAGGUGCCACUCAAGAGGCAUUUGACGUGAGCCGUUGGAUUGAAUUGUUUCUUUAUUGGGGCUUCGCGUGGCAUGUGACAUAAUUUUUGAUAAGAGAAAAUUAAUUUUUUAAGAUUUAGUGGGAGAGAAAAAUUAGAAUAGAGUGAUGCUUUAACUACCCUUACGUGGCCUAAACUCUCGAUGUGUCCGGACAUGUGUAUUAUUACUGGUUAGCUUACGUAAUAUGAUUUUAAAUUAAGAGUGCAAAUUUCGUACCUAUUGUAGUUGGAAUUGAUGAUUAAAGACAAAUUUACCUUCACUUUUGAUUUAUUUUAAGAGAUGACAAUCUUUAGUACGCGUUUGAUUAAAAAACCAAAAUAAUUCACAACUUUUAUCUUAUCUUAAUUAGAUAUGAAAAUGCACCACUUUUAUCUUAGUUACGUAUGAAAAUGAGAUUCUUAACCCGACGGAAUAAAAGCUUCAAUUUGACUCUUUUUUUUUUUUAAGUUACACUGCAAAAGGAAAAAAAUUCAGAAAUAUAUCAUGCAAUACUAGAUUAUUCCUGCAACAUUACAUCGAAUUAUAAUUUUGUAUCUUUUUUCUUUUUUUGGAGUGACUUAGUAUGUGUUGGUUAAGUUUUUUUUUUUUUAAAAAAAAAAAGAAGAAAAAAGACACGGAGAAUGCGUUGGCUAGUCUUAGGAUGUAUAAUUAGUACGUAAUUAGGCGUUCGUCAUUAUUCAUAAUUAGAUAUUAUCGACCAUCAUUUUAGCUCCAUUAUUUAGUCGUAAAAUGGCAUGAAAUGUAGCCAUUCCAUAUAAUCAGAUCUAUACCAUCUAUAACAUAAAUUUCAUAUUAUAUCAAAAUUUUCCCGUUGGGAUUUUACAAUAAAGCUUUUUUAUUUAAAGGAUUUACAUAAAUUCGGGCCCUUGAUGCUUGCUAAAUGUUCUUAAUUUAUAUAUAUAUAUAUAUAUAUAUAUAUAUAUAUAUAUAUAUAUAUAUAUAUAUUACUAUAGAUCUGGCUAUAUACUCUUAAUGAUAUAGAGACUUUGUAUAUAAGUUUUUGGCGUUAGAUCUUGCUCUUUAAUUAUUUUCAUCAUUAGAUUAUACUACUUAACCAACCACCCACUCAAUCCUAGCGGAGCCCAUAUCAACUACAGUAACUACUCUUAUCGAGCCGCUAUUUUUCAUCCAAACGGCGGGAAAACUGGUUAUUAGUAUAAAGGGUCUAUACUCAUAUGAGUAUAGUAGCCUCAUUCUAUUAUAUAUAUAAUAUACUAAUAUAUAUAUAGGAGUUGAGCUAGAAUACUUCGAGAGUAAACAGAGUCCAGUUACUCUCGCAGUUGGUUUUUCGGAUGAUAGAAGCUUCCAAAUUGCACGAUCGGCUCCGUUAAAUAUGCAUCUAAACCAUUUAAACUACUAGAAAUCAAGAUUAUCAAGCACUUUCGAUAUUGUUUGAUAUUCCAUCUUAGUUGAUACAGUAAAACAUGAAGUCUGGCUGCAAAAGAAUAUUCUUUAAAAAAUGAUGAUAGGAGUCUUGUAAUCAAGAUCAAGAGUAUAGAUCUUGUUUUAAAUAGUUUAAAGAAUUUUCUAACAAAAAUUCAAUUGAUUUGGAUAUCUUUACACCGUUAAACGAGAAAACGUCUCUUAUCCACCAUUAAAAUUACAAAUUUUGAAACCCUUUGAUCAUUAGGCAAAUGAUGUCGAAAAGAUUUGAAAUUUGAUUUCUAAACACUUCAAGUGGUAUAAAUCAUGUUCAACGGAGCCGAUCGUCAAUUUGGAAGCUCUAUCAUCGAAAACAACUCGAGAGUAAACGGGCUCGUUUACUCUCGAGAGUAUUCUAGCUCAACUCUAUAUAUAUAUAUUAAGCAAUUAUAAAUUGCUUCGUUGGUAAUGAGCAAAAAUUAUAUAAGUACUCCAUCUAAAGUGCGGUCUAAUUUUUAAGCAGCGUAGAUGAUAAAUUAAACACUCUAUUAUCAAAAUUAAAUUACUACAGCGUCAUUUUUAUCAAAAUUAUUUUAUUAGAAUGGGCCAAGUUAAAAGCUACUGUGGUGCAUGCUGAAUCACAACUAAUAUUUUGACAAUUUUAUCCUUUUAUAGGGACCUCAAGUUUAUAACUUUUGGUUAGAAAACAAUAGCAAAAUUCGGGUUGAUCCUUGGUAUUACUGAAGUUGUCAGGGGCAAAGUUGUCAUUUUGAGGUCAGCUGACGAUACCGACCAUGACAGAAUAUAUUUCUACUAUUUCCAACUUGGGCCUUGGCUUUCCUCUAGAAUUUAUUGUAGGUUGUUAUAUUUACAUACAUCAUUAAUGAUACUAUUAGAUUUUGAUUAAGAUAUAAUACCUACCUCUGUGGAAUUAAUUAUCACUCUGACUAUUCUUGUAACGUACUGUAGUAUUUAAUUUCUAUUUUACUUUUCAGAAAAGAUCCUUUAGCGUGGGAGGACUUAUUAAAAUUAACUAAUUGCCACGGGUACGUUAGUCCGGCUACUAUACUUUUAUAAGUAUAGAGCCUAUUGUACUCAUAAAUUUUUGGCCGUUAGAUCUGCCCUUUAAUCAUUUUCACCCGUUAGAUCAUACUAUUCAACCAACCAUCCACUCAACCCUAAGGGACCCACUAUCAACCUAAACGUAACUACUUUCAUCCUAACCGCAUAUUUUUUCAUCUGAACGGUUGAAAACUUAUAGGUACAAAGGGCUCUAUACUCAUAUAAGUAUAGUAACCCCAGCCUAUAUAUAUAUAUAUAUAUCAAAUCAAAAGUAGUCGAUGCAAAAAUAAU